CUGAGAGCUGUAAAAAGACUUGAGAUCAUCAGCUAGAUUAACCAUCUCAUUCUGCAGGUGAGUGAAGUAAACACUUUGAAAGGGGGGGGGGGGUUUGGAAAGGACUUGCCAAGGUCACCCAGGAAGUUAAGUUGAAUUAAUGGUACUGAUCCUUUGAUUCUAGAGCCAGUGAUCUGUAAUAACUUUUUGCAUCUUCAGUCACCAGUAAAAUGUAUUUUACCUACCAAGAAUCCCCCAGAGGCUAUACUGUCUUUUCACUGAAUACCAGAAGUAUGAGUCACGUUUGAUGCUAUAUAACAGCAUUAAAAAGCACCAGACUAUGUUCUUUAACCAUCCUUCUCUGGGUCCCAGUGAAGCAUCCUGGACAAUGUGGAGACGCCCAUCAUUUAAGGCUUCAGUUGCUUCAGAAUUGAUUAAUGGGACCAGGAGAAUGACUCUUCAAAAAACUGAGACCAUUUCUGCCUUCUGCCUGUUAAUAGAAAUGACUAUUCUAACUUGAUGCUGGACUUUGUCCCAUAGUAGUUGGGGGAAUUUGACAAGUGUUGUCAAAUGCUGAAUGGGGCAGCACAAGUGAUAGAUGUGAGCUUUGUUUGAAACAGCAGUCAGAGUUGGCCUGUACAUGCACUACACCUGGUAGUUCUCACUAUUUAAGAUGUCUAAACCCAUUUCAUUAAAACAUCUGCUAGACUCCCAACUUUUAUAAAGUUAUGCCUUAUUUUUAAAAAAAGGAAUCAAAUUCAUCUAUCCACUGUUCCACAACAUGGACUUUCUCUCUUUUCUUGUGUAUUUUAUAUGAUAUAUUCCCUUAAAAUGAACUACAAGUAUCUAUUCAGAUUAUUUUGUGGUAUUGGAAUUUUACUGUAUCAAAACUUAUUGGGAAUAAAUAAUCAAUAGACCUGAGAUUUUACUGAGAUGUUUAUUACAGUGGUAUUUACUACAAAACAAGAGGUUCCAAACCUUUUUUGUGCCAUUGAAUCCUUUUGAAAAUCUGGUGGUGCUAUAUAUAUGUUAUAUAUAUAUAUACACACAUAUAUAUAACAUAUGUUAUAUAUAGUUUUGUUUAUUUUGUUAGGCAUUUAUUUAUGUUGUUUAUAUUUAUAUAUAACUUAAUUCUGUUAGAUAUUUCCUAAUUCCAUUUUAAUAUAGUUCCAGUUGGUGUUUGACACCUGCGUUAGACUAUUGAGUUGACUAUUAUCUCAUUUUAUUUCCUUCUCCUAUGAUGUGUUAUUUUUUUGUUUUCUGUUUUCCUAUGUUGCUAGCCUCAAAUUUGGAGAGUAUCCUUUAUUGCAAGCAUUUCCAAAUUUACUUGUACCUUUUCAUUCAAAAGUAUAAUAAAAAUAUUUAUUUAGUAUCAGCUGUGGUUGCAGAGCACUGUGCUAGGUGGGGUGUGUAUGUGUAUAUAUGUGGAUGGGUAUAGGGUGGGCAUUAAGAGCUGGUUUAAGAUAUAGCCCUUGUCCUCAAGAAGGUAUAUAAAGGUGUGAUGGAUUUUAAAGAAUGCUGGAUUUGGAAUCAGAAGAGACCAGAUUUUUUAAUUCUGCCUCUGAUACUAGCUAUAUGACCUUGGGAAAGUCAUAUAACCUCUCAUCCUCAAUUUCCUCUUCUGUACACUUUGGGUAAUACUUCUAGUUACCACUUAACUUCAUAGGGUUGAGUUAUUAUGAGGAUAAAAUGAGAUUGUAUGUAGUACUAUAAAAAUCAACUCUGAUGUUGAUUAUGUUUCUAUAUUCCAUGUAUAUGUUGGUGAACCUUUAUGUUUUGGAUGAUGCUUUUUAAUGUCGAUCAUAUGAGCUGGCAAAUAUGUGAACACUAGAUUCUUUUCAUAAUUGAUAAUAAGCUCAUAUGAUUUGCUCUUACUCUUGGAGCCAAUAUAUUGCCUCCUUCUAGAGUCAAAAUGACACUGAAUUGGAGGUUGUUAACAUGCCAGCAUGAUUUUUCUGCCAUAUUUGCUUCCUGAUAAGCUUAUCUAUCUUGGGAUCUGGUGUUGCAGGCCAUACUUGUUUGUACUGUGUUUUCUUUAACCAUGGCUAUUUGUUUUUGGGGGGGGGAUUGUUUUUUUCCCUCUGGGCUAUAAAGAUGACUUUCCUUAAUCUAUUUUCACUAUUCCCUUUCAUGGAUGCAGAUAGUCAUUGAAUUUUACUAAAAUCUUGGCCAGCUGCCUGAUGUCCAACUAUAUAAUAAAGGCGUCUUUCCAUUGAGUGUUGAGUAUAGCUUUUCUAAAGAUGAAUUUGUAAAUAAAAACUAGAUUAUGAACAUUCAUUACUGUUUUUGUAAUGGCUCCCAUUGUUCUUUAUAUCCUGGGAUGUCUGUACCAAAUGCAACUCUGCCAAACUUCUACAGCAUCUAAAAAGAAAGGAGAAGCAGCAGAGUGGAAUUUAAAAAAAAUGCUUGGACUUGGUCAGCUGGACUUGAGUUCAGGAAAACAGGUUACAAGGAUCUUUCAAUUUUGAGCUGGAAGGGACUUUGAGAUCAUCUAGAACCAGGGUUCUUGAUCUAUUUUGUGUCAUAGACCCCUCUGGCAGCUUGGUAAGUGAACCCUCUUGUCUCAGAAUGAUGUUCUUAAAGGCAGAAAAUAAAAUACUCAGGAUUAUAAAGGAAAUCAAUUAUAUUGAAAAGCUGUUAUCAAAAUAAUUUUUAUAAAGUUCAUGAACCCCAGGUUAAGAACUCCUGAAACUCUUUGCAGAUAAGAAACCCAAGCUCCAGUGUGGAGAAGUGAUAUUUGCUAAGAUCACACAGGUAGGAAAUUGCAGAACUGGGAUUCAAACCAAAAUUUUUUUUUACUCCAAAUUCAUAAGACUUUAUGUUAUAUCACAUGGUUUCUCAGUCUUCUGCAACUUUAUACCUUUGUGAUCUUUAAUCUUGUGAGCCUUAGUUUUCUCACUAUUAAUUGCUGAGACUCCCUGCCCUGUCUACUUUACAGGGUUGCUGUGAGAAUGAAAUCAGAAAAAGUAUGUUAAGGGCUUUGUGAAAUAUAAAGUACUACACAGGUGAUAAGAGGUUAUCAUUAAGCCAUUUCUUGAUAUAGUGUUUUCUUUUUUCCAAAAUAAGAUAAUUACAUUUAUUGGCUUGUUAAAUGUUAAUCAUUUAAAAAAAAAGUCUUUCUUGUUAUUGUUUGUCCUUCACCAUGAAGGUGGCUGAAAUAGGUGCUGUGAAGAGCUUAGAGCUUGAUCAGACAUAGAACAUGCCAAGGUCAUCACUCCCUCCUGGGCCAUCACUAGUCAUCUUGACAUCUUUAACAUAUGUUUAACUCACAAUAUAUCCUACUAUUUCUGCAGUCAUUUUUAAAUACUGUUUAUCAUGAGUUCACAAGUGUUUGAAAAAGAUUAUUUCUUUCUCCACCAUGAAACCAGUUUUGAUACAAGUUUUAGGUGGCUUGUUCUUGGAGUUUCUCUGUUGCUCUGGUUAAAUAUUGAAGUGUUAUGAUUGGGUGAGUUUUCUUGGUGUCUAUACUUGGCCUUAAGUGCUUCCUGGCUAUAUACCUUUUAGCAUUGUGCUCACCUGGAAAAGUGAUAAUAUGAUCUUUUACAUGUAUUUUAGUGUCAGUUUUUUCAGGCCAAAGUCAUCAAACACUCAUCCUGGAAUAGUCUCUAGCAUUUCAGGAGACAUUUAGUGUCUUUCUGUCUUUUGGAUGGUAAACAGUUUUGUCCUUGCUAUCUCAGAAUCUUCAGUGAGACAGAUGUCAUAGGACUUAACAUGUAAAAGGCACAAGAGCAACAAUACAAGUACAGAAAGUGUUUACACUGUGUCAUAGCUCAUGGAGCAUGAAUCACACAUAUUAUGCUUAUUACAUGUUUAUUUAGGUAAUUUGGGUAUAAGGGAAAAUUGAUUUGGACAGUUGGUCUCCCCUAUCCAAAAUCCCUCCCUAUUACUUUAUGGUAUGAAGAUAACUUUGGAAUUUCAAAGGUUGUGCCAGUGGAGUGUAAGCUUUGAACAAUCCUGCCAGGAUAGAAAGACUUUGAGAGUGGUUCAUCAGCCUGCCUUCAUGUCUAUUUUCAAUUUAAUACAGUAAUAAUGUAUUAACAAUCUUUUAUAUGGUAGACACUGUGCUAGGGCUGGGAAUUUUUGUUGUUGUCUGACUUGUGAUCCCAUUGGUGGUUUCCUGGCAAAGAUGCUAGAGUAGUUUGUUAUUUCUUUCUCCAGCUCAUAUUAUAGAUGAGGAUACUGAGGCAAACAGGUUGAAAUGACUUGCCCAGGGUCAUGCAGCUAGUGCUUGAGACCAGAUUUGAACCUAGGAAGAUGAAACUUCCUGAUUCUAGGCCCAGAACCCUUUCCACAGUGCUACCUAGUUGUCCAGGGCUGGGGAUACAAAGUUAAAAAUGAAACAUUCCCAGCAUUCCAGGCACUUACAUUCCACUGGGGAAAUUGUGCUUAAAUAAGUAAAGGCAAUGUGAGGAAGCAAAAAAAGCAGUACCAGGGGGCAGCUGGGUAGCUCAGUGGAUUGAGAGUCAGACCUAGAGACUGGAGGUCCUAGGUUCAAAUUUGGCCUCAGACACUUCCCAGCUGUGUGACCCUGGGCAAGUCACUUGACCCCCAUUGCCUAGCCCUUACUGCUCUUCUGCCUUGGCUCCAAGACAGAAGGUAAGGGUUUAAAAAAAAAAAGCAGUACCAAAUGGGAGGGUUAGAGAAACUUAUUGGAAUUGGUGGCACCUGAACCUUGAAGGAAGAUAACCAUUCCAAAGAAAAAGAUAUGCAAUUGAGUUCCCUAUGGGGAAAUUUUAUGCAAAUAUAUGGGGGCUGAAGAUGGAAUGUGAGGUUUGCCUAGGGCAUUGUUUGAAGGGCCCCCAAGUAAUGUGAGAUAAGCCUGGGAAAGUAGUUUGGAGCUAUAUUUUAGAAGUCAUUAAAAGCCAGGCUUAGAAGUUUAUAUUUUGUUCUAGAGGUAGUACGCAAUGGAAAUCCAUGAAAAUAUUGACCAGUAGAAUAAUGUAGUCAGGUCUGGACUUUAGGAAUAUUGUUAUGGUAGCUCCUUGGAGAAUAAAUUGGAAAGAGAAGAGAUUGGAAGCCGGGAAACCAAUUGGGAAACUAUAAGAUUAGUGGGAGAUGAAGAAUAAUAAUCCACAUGGGAGAUGAUGAAGAGUAGCAGUCAUAUAAACAUAAAGAAAAAGAUAGUUUUGAGAAAUGAUGUUAUGGUAGAAUAUACUAGACUAAUCAACUAAUUGGUUAUAGGACCUAAGGGAAGAAUAACAAGGGAGGAAGACAAAAAGUUAAGUUUUGCUAGUAAUUUGAGAUAGUAAUGAAACUUCUAGGUAAUGUGCAAUGUGGGACUAUAGUUAAGCAAAAUUAAGCAAAAAUGUGGGAAUAUAGGUAAGCAAUAUUAAAGAUAUAUAGAUUUGGGAGGCAUCUGCAUAGUGGUCAUUGAAUCUAUGAAGACUCAUUAAAUCACUUAGGAGAGAGGUUGGAAUGAGCAGAAAGAGAAGACAGAGGAAGAUAGAUGAAAAUGAGGAAAGUUCAGGCAUAUUGGAAGGUGACCAGAGAAGAGCAUUGUUAACAGAAGUCAAGGGAGGAAAGAGAAGGAUUAAAAUUUGCAGUGAUUAAGGAGAAUGAAGUCUGAGGAAAGACAGUUGAAUUUAGUAGUAAGAGAUCUUUAAUAAGUUUGAAGAGAACAAUUUAAAUUGAAUUCUUAGGUCAAAAGCUUGAUUCCAAAAUGUUGAGAAGUAAGUUGGGGUAGCCUGGGUAGAUAGUGUUUUAUAUAUAUAUAUAUAUAUAUAUAUAUAUAUAUAUAUAUAUAUAUAUAUAUAUAUAUGCUGUCUUGAGUGGAUAGCAGGGUGAAGGCUACUCGUUUUGUAAGGAUGGGGAAGACCAUAAUAUUUGUAAAAAGUAGGAAAGGUGCUAGUAGAUGAGGAGGGAAAAGAGAUAUGAAAAGUCAGGAGCAAACGCCUGGAAAACAUAUGAGUGACUUGGACUUGUCAAAGGGAAUUGUGGCCUUUACUCUUCCAUAGUGGGAGCAAAAGAGAAGAGAAAGAGUAAAUGGAGAGAGGGUUUUUGAGAUAUAUUAGGGAAAUUUGAGGUAUAAAGAUUGAAGAUUGGCAGGUUAUAAACAGUAAUAGGGAAAAGGGUUGAAGAAUAGAGAAUGGUACAUAGUCAAUUUUAGGUUGUCAAAGGGAGAACUUGUCAGUUUUAUGGUUUUGAAGGGUAAGACUGGAGCAAGGGUGAUGUACUUUAGAGAACAGAGAACUAAGGUUACAGUGAAGAUUAAAAUAGAUUUAGGAAGAAUGAAACAAAGGGAGAGAUGGAAGGACAGGAAAUUAUCAUACAGAGGAACCCUCAAUUAACUAGACUCCUACUUUCCUAAGUGCUGUGAUGACAGAGGUUAUAGUUAUUGAGAUAGCAGGGACAUAGCAUGUAUUUUUCUAAACACAAAUCCUAUGGGGAGGAGUAGGGAGAGGUGAAGAUAGGGGAAUGGGAGAUCAGUCAGUCUCUGAGGCCUGGGGUCAAGGAUGACUCAGGGCAUAUACACUCUGAAGAUAUUUCAUAUAUGUAAUAUGACCUGGAUACUAGCCAGAAUGUGGCUCUAGGCUUGUUGACCUUGAGUUGAGCAGAGGAAUUCAGUUCAUUUAUGGUUAGUUAUAUGGGGAUGAGAAUGGAGCAACAAUUUUUGCUUGUUCAUAUAAGGCUACAUGGCAGAUUAUAAAGGACCCCAAGUCUCUUACAUUUAUACUAUCAAUGAUCUCAACUGAGCAACAGAUUGAAUAAUGCCCAAAAAUGUAAAAAAAACAGUAUUAGUAAAUUCUUUAAUCCACACUAGAACUCCAGGAAAAGGAAUCUAGAAGCUGUGAGAUUCAACCCCAGGAAAAAGCCAGCACCAGUGCAGGUUCUUGGCAUUGCCCUAAUUGGGAAAGUUCGGAGGCUGUCAAACUUCCUGAUGAAAUAAAUCCCACACAGUACAAAAACUAUCCAGUCCCCUGAUCAAGGUCAGUGGGAAGGGAGAUGGAAGUAUCAGUGACCUAUCUAGGGAAAUCCUAGGGGAGAAUGAAAGAUCACCUAACACCCUAAUUUUAGUUUAGCUUCAGUUAGUGAAGAGAUCAUCUGGCAUCCUAAUGAAGGAAACCCCAGGGGGUAGGGCCUAUCCAGUGCCUUGGUCAAGGAAACAUCAGGGAGGGAUAGCAAAUUAUCCAGUGUGCUGAAUUAGGGACAACCAAUUACAGAAUUCUGGCUGGGACACUAAAGUCUAUCAUUCUCUGAGCACUGGCUUUUUGGAACACCUUGUGUUAAACAAAAUGAAAAGACUGAAAAAAAGAAGAAAAUAAAAGGUAUUUUGUCUACAAAAAAAUAUUGACAAUUGACCUGGAAAAUAAACCAAGAAUCUUAGAAUCAUUGAACUACCUCAGAACCAUGACCAAAAGAAGAACUUAUAUAUAAUAUUUCAAGAAACUACAAGUGAAAACUGCCAAAAUCUCUAAGAACUAGAAGGCAAAGGGAAAAUAGAACCCACCAGUCACUUCCUGAAAUAAUUCUUCCACUUUAAAACUAAUACUAAUUUCAUAGCCAAUGCUUAUAGCUUCCUGGUUAAAGGGAAAAAGUAUUACAAGUAGGCAGAAAAAGGAAUUUUAAGUACCAAAGUGCCACAGUCAGAAUCACAUACAACACAAAGGAGAAGGAAUCAAGGAGUUUAACUUAUCAAAAAGGUAAAAGCUUACAACCAAGAACAACUUAGUUUACAAAGCUUUGGGGGAGGGGAAGUGGGGGGGGGGACCUGUAAUGAAAGAGGACUUUGAGACAAGGAUUCUUCAUGAAAAGACCAGAGCUGAGUAGAAACUUUGUAAUUCUGAUAGAGUCAUGAGAAAAAUAAAAGGGCAAAAAUAUUUGAUUAACCUGUUGAAUUUCUUCAAGGUUCAUAGAGGGAGUUAUAUGAGGCAAAUAGAGAAUGUGAGGAUAACUAUUCUUUUUGGUUGUUAUAAUAGAGGAAAGAAGAAUGAGAGGAAAGGAAUGAACUAGGGAAGAAGGAGGGGAAAUUUACUGUUUCUCGUAAUCAGGUACAUGCGAAGAUGAUUAUACAAACAUGAGAAAGGGGUGAGGGAAUAAGCAUCAUAUGAACCUUACCCAUAUCUGACCUGGGCAAAGGAAGGUUGAAUACAUAUACAUGCUUAAACACAUACAAAGAAUGUGGUAUAUAAUGCAUUACACUUAAAAAAUAAGAGGUAGAAGCAGCAAGAGGUGAGGAUUCAAAAGAAAGGGUAGUGUUGAAGAAGAAUAGCCACAAGUAAAGCACAUUUCCAACUUUGGAAAUUUGGUUUUGAGGGGCCAGAAUUAAAAAGUGGAAAAUGGGUAAGAAACAAAGAGGCCCAGAGUCUGGUCAAGAGGAACUGAAGAGGAACAGUGAUAAUGAAGCAAAUGGCUCCAAUUAUAAAUUACUAGCAUCAGUCAUACUCCUCUUUCACCAUUGUUCUCUUUAUAAAGGGUACAUGGGAGGUAGGUGAUAAACAUGAGUCAAAGAGAAGAAAAAGUACAAGAGGAUAAGAUCAAAGGAAAUACAUUUAACAAUUAUAACUAUGAAUGUGAGUAGAGAGAACUUUUCCAUAAAAUGGAGACAAGUAGACUUGUUUGGAAAGUAGAACUCAAUGAUAUUACAAGAAAUACACUUGAAACACAGAAUUAAAAUAAAGGGCUGAAGUAGGAUUUAUUAUAUUUCAAAUGAUCUAAAAAAGUAGAAGGUAACAAUCAUGAUCUUACAAGGUAGCAUAAAAAUACACAUGCUUAAAGAAAAUGAACAGGAAAACUACAAAGUGCUUCAAGGCAUCAUUGACAAUGGGCAUGAUGCCAUAAUAUAUAAUACAUAAUGGUAUCUGUACUAAAUGACAUUGUAUUCAAGUACUUCUUGGAAACAUUAAUUGAAUUACAGAGACAGAUAGCAAAACUGAAAUAGUUGGGGAUAUUUAUUAUAUAUCAUCCAUUGUGUCAGUUGGCUCUGUUCUGGACAUUUCUUUCAGACCUAGUCAUAUUAUAAAAAGAAAGAAAGAAAGUUUAAGGACUUCACUAGAAUUUUUAAAAAGUUUGAUAUGCUAGGUCUCUGGAGAUUAUUAAAUAGGAAUUGAAAAGAAUAUACUUCUUAGCCAUAUGUGGACCCUUUACAAAAAAUGACCAUGUGUUUGGAUAUAAAAAUCUCAGAAAGGCAUGGAAGUAGAAAUUUUAACUAUUUCCUCUAUUGAUCACAACCCAAUAAAAAUUAUAAUCAUUCAAGGAUCUUUGAAGAAAAGAUUCAAAAUGAAAUCAAGACUAAGUAAUUUAAUCCUAAGGAUCUAAUGGGUCAAAGAAUGAAUCAUAAAAGCAAUAGAUAAUUUCAUCACAGAAAAUAACAACAGUGAGCCAAUAUACCAAAACUCUUGGAAUACAACCAAAGCAGUCCUUAGGUGAAAAUUUAUAUCACUACAUACUUUUACACAAAAGAGAGAAAGACCAGUUCAACAAACUGUUCAAGCAACUAAAAAAUGGAAAAACCAAGUCAGAAGACCCCAACUAAGUAUAAAAACAGAAACUCUGAAGAUCAAGGAAGAGAUUGAUAACACUGAAAAUGGUUAAAGUUUAAAUGAUAAGAACAACUUUUAAAAAAUCUAAUAAAUAAGCCAGUAGCUAUAUGUGAUUAAGAAAAAAUGAGAAGAAAACCAAAUUGCCAAUAUAAAAAAUGAAAAACAAUAAAUGCAGAAAAAUUCCUAAAACAUAUUUUACACAUGCCUUCAGAAUACAUAAUAAGUGAAAUGUAUGUCUUUUCAGAAAUACAAAUUCCUUAAAUUAAUAGAACAAGAAAUAGAUAAUUCAAAUAACCUAGUCCUAGAAAAAGAAAUCAAAUAAGGCAUACAUGAAUUCCCAAAGGAUAAAAACCUCAGGAACAAAUUAAUUUACAAAUGAAUUCUAUUAAAUAUAAAACAAUGUUGUUACUAUAUAAACCAUUUACAUAAAAUAAAAAGAAUUCCUACAAAAUUCCUUCUUUGACACUGAUAUGAUCAUGAUCAGGGUGAGAAAAAAACAGAAAAGUAUAGAUCUAUAGUUCCAAUCAAGUUAUCACAAAAAUGUUAGUUAAAUAUUAGCCAAAGCAAUAAUAUUUAAAAGAUUCAACUUAUAUCUGCUAUAUUUGCUUGACUUAAUAUUAAGACAAUUAUAAUAGACCAUAUCAACAAAUAAAAAUAAGAAAGAUUGCACAGUUAUGUCAGUAGAUGCAAAAGAAGUUUUGACAAAAUUACAACAGAUUUUUGUUAAAAAUAAAGAGCAUGAGAACAAAUGAGUUACUUGUUAAUAUAGAAAUAAUAUCUAACUAAAACCCAGAACCAGCAUUAUAUGUAAUGGAAAAAAGCUAGUUUAUAUUAAGACCCAGGAAUAAGGCAAAGGUGUUCAUUAUCAACACAUUAUUUGACAUGAGAAAGGAAUUGUGUAACUAAAUAUAGGAAAAGAAGAAAACAAAAUUAAUGCUUUUUUGCAGAUGAUAUGGUGGUCUACUUAAUGUAGAAAUUAAACUAAAAUUAAUUGAAGAAUAAAUUAGGAAAAUAUAAUGAAAUUAAACAAAUACACAUAAAUCAUUACCUUUGAAGUACAUUAUUCACAAAACCCAACAAGAAGAAAUAGAAGUUCAAUUCAAAUAGCUACAGAAUGUAUAAAAUGUUUGAGAAAAAAAUUUCCCUACCAAGAUACUCAAGUGAAUCUAUUUUCAUAGAUUCACACAUAUUUAUACAAAUCCAACUACAAAAUACUCUCAAUAGACAUUUAGACAUACUUUAAUAAUUUAUGAGAUAUUCUUGUUUAUUGUUGCAUUGUACCAGUAUAAUAAAAGUGACAAUGCUACUACCUAUAUUAAUUUACUUAAUGGAGAGACAAAAAAAAGGCAAAAUUCUUUAGUAUCUGAUCUCAAACUAUACUACAAAGCAGUAAUCAUGAAAAUCAUUUGAUUACUAGCCAGAAAAUAGAAAAAUUGUUCAGUGGAACAGAUUCAUUAUAUAACAAUAAGAAGCAAAUGAAGUAUGUUAUAAACCCAGAAAUUUCAGUUAACAAGUGCUCACUUUUUAGAUAAAACUGCUAGGAAAACUGGAAAGCAGUCUAGGGGAAAGUUGGUUUAGACUUAGUGCUCAUUCAACUUACCAAGGUAUCAUUCAAUUGAAUACAUGACCUAGAUAUAAAAGAUCACAUCAUAGAUAAUUGGAGAAGCAGAGAAUAAUGCUUUUUGCAACUAUGUAUACAGAAAGAGUUCAUGACCAGACAAGAAAUAGAGAUCAUAGAAGGAAAAAAAAAGAUAAUAUUGAUUAUAUUGAAAUAUUUUUACAUUUGAAUUCAUUUUGACCAUUGAAAUAUUUUUGUACAUACAAAAUGAAUGUAGUCUAAAUUAGAAGAGAAAAUAUUAAUUAAGGAAAAAAUCUUUGCAGCAAAUUUCUAUGAUAGGGGUCUGAUAUUCAAUCUAUUUAAAGGAAGCAAUUCACCUUCACUCAUUCCUAUAUAUAUUGUCAAAGGAUAUGUAUAGAUCUCAAAAGACUAAAUUUGGGAAGGGGAAAUAUUUUGGAGAGAGAGGGUUACUAGUGAUGGUGUUGUUCCCCCUCCAAAAAAAACACCCCCAAACCCUCACAAACAAAAGGAGAAUUGAGGCAUUUUUAAGCGCCCAGAAGAGAAUAGAAGAAAAGUUCAAAGGGAAACAGAAAAUACCUUUGAAAGUUAAUGUAUUAGGACAGGUAGACAAUUCAGUGAAUUGAGAGCCAAGCCUGGCACUGGGAUGACCUGGGUUCAGAUUUGACCUAACGCCAGUUGCUUAGCUCUUAUUGCUCUUCUGCCUUGAACCAAUACUGACAGAAGAUAAGGAUUAAAAAAAAAGUUAACAUGUUGCUUUUAUUAUUUAAAGAAACAAGCUGUACAGAUAGAGAUUUGUGGUUUUACACAUAAUCCUCUUUCUAGUCUUCCAACUUUAGGGUAUGUAUUCUUUCCCCUGCAGAAGAAGGAUGAUAAUACCUGUAUUAUCCACCUCAGAGGGCUAUUAUGAAGAUCAAAUUAUAUAUAUAUAUGUGUGUGUGUGUGUGUAGAGAGAGAGAGAGAAGGACUUUUGUUGACUUUAAAGUGCUAUAAAAAUGCUAGUUAUUUUUCUAAUUGUUACUCUUACCCUUGAGGAUAAAUUCAUGACCACAGGGUAAAAAUGAGAUUGAAGAAUUCCAUUCAAAAUAAUAUCUUCAAAUAUAGUGACUAGAUCUGUUUUAUCAUCACUGAAAAAAGUCGUACCUUCUUUGGUAUCAAUUGUGAGACAUUAGGAGACACUGGCACUGAGCUACUGAGUAUGUUGUGCUCACAUCAGAGAAGGAGCCCUGUUCUGUGAGCAAAGCAGAAUUGCAGUAGCAUAAAGGAAAUAUCAGGUAUGGAAAUUUAGAGACACCUCCUUCCCAAAUGUUCAAAUGGACUAUUUGUGCAUGACUUUUGGUAGCUCAUAUUGGACUGAUCAGCCAUAAACACACUGUACCUUGACCCCAACAUAAUUAUGUCAUUGGUUCUCUAAGUACAGAGGAUGAACAAUAAAGAUCUUCUUUGAAACUUCCAGUCUUAAGAGAGUUUCUCAGAGUACUAAGAAGUUAAAUGAUUUGCUCAACAUCACAACCAGUAUGUGUCAGAGUGGGGACUUGAACUUAGUUCUUUCUGGCUUUGUCACCAGCACUAUCCACUACUACAUCAGGCCUGUCCUUAGACAAACUGAAAAUAUGAGCAAAAUGAUUAAUUCCCCAAGGACCUAAAAACUAAAAAUGGAUAUGUUAAGUGCUUCCUUCAUGCAAUCCCUACCAAGUUUCCAUGACACCCAAAGGUUCUACAUUCACAUAUUUGGAGAAAUCUUUGUCCUGCACUUGUAUCCAUCAGCAAUAAGAACCAGACUUUAAUGUAAUUGCAGAUUUGUUGGUUUCCUGAUUGGCUAAGAAGUCAUCUUUUAUUUCAAGUGGAAAUGUCUCCUGGUUUAAUUUAAACCAAUCUCCUCUUCUUAGAUUUUCUUCCAGUAUUGAGCAUUACUUGGAUUUGCCUACUCAGUCCUUACUUACAGUAUAAGAAUGAGAGGAAAUGAUGGUCACAAUGGUAAUCAGAAUGCUGAGAUUUUGCAUGGCAAGCUUGCUCUGGCUAAGGCUGUUCAAGAUUGUGGUUGUCACAUGGGAGACUUUUAGCCAAUCAGUCACCAUCCCUUUUCUUUUCUCUUUAACAAUAGAAAUCAUAAGAAAACAUUGUCUGCUAGUUAAAGCGCCUGUCUUUAUGUCUGCUGCGUCUGCGUCUUCUAUAACCAUCACUCCGAUUCUGUUGCUGUAGGAGACCAUUCUACUUUUGACAAUAGCUAAUCCCCAUGUCUUAGUGUUAGGUACCUAGUCUUUUCCUUUUAUUUCAAAUACUCCUGUUUGUUUCUCUUAUCCAGAUGUUGGUUUGAUAGUUAUAAAAGUGUACUAUGAUCCCCCAGAUAUAGCUUUUAUUUGUCUUAAAAGUUUUUCACCAUGUGGUGAGCUGAGAUUUCUUAAGAAUUCUUAUUUGAUAGCCAUCAGCCCAUGGGGAAAAAACUGAAUUUAGAAGUACUCCUUUAUCACCUCCCCUUCUCUGCUUAAACUGUCACUCUUUUGCCUCCCUUUUAUGAGGAAGAGGAACCUGUCUUCUGAAAUUCUCUCUCCUGAUUAAUUUUCUCAGUGUUAAGAGCUUAAUCUGUCAUCAUUGAUCACACUGAAGUAUGAGCCAUUGAUAGCAUCUCCAGGUGUUAACCUUCCCAUUGAAAUAUGCAGUAUGCAAGACUGAUGAGGGAGGGAUGAUUUUUACAAUUCAUUUUUACAAGGUAAGGAGAGGGUCAUAUACUCAUCAAAAUUAGAGUUGGAUCAUAAGCAACCAUCUAUUCAGCUUCAUACAAAUAAGUUUGGCAUUUUUGUCACCAUGUUUCUUCCUUCCUCAGUUGUUUACACAGGAGUUCUGUUUUCCAUUGGUCAUAGGUUGCCUUUACAAAGUUAUUUUAAAAAACAAUAAGCUCAUUACUGUUUUUAGCAGAUUGUUAUUUUUAUUAUCCUUCCCCUAAUAUCAGUGGUGUCAUAGUGCUCCUGUACCAUUGGUGACACAUCAUAGCAAAGGCAUACAGGCCAGAUGUCUUUUGGGAAGCAGCCAGUUUCAGUUCAUUCUGAUACUUCUGUGACUACCACAGUAUCACAAGGAUGAGGUUCCCUCAUUCCACAGUGGAGAAGCUGAGAUAUAUGUGUGUGUGCACAUGCAUGCAUGUGUAUGUGUGCAUGCAUGCAUGAACUUGGGUGAUGUUUAAAGGCAAUGAGAAAUUUAGAUUGGAGAUUGAGCACUGGGUAAUAAUUGACUCACUGAGGAACUUGUGGAGCCAAGGUGUUACUUUACCACCAAAGAAAGAGCCAAGGGCGAUUGAUAGUGACUAAACCACAGUAGUGACAACUGUAUUGCUUACAGAAUUCAUUGGUUUCCCUAGUCUCUUUUUGCCUCUUUUCAGGUAGAGUAAGGGAUCUCAGGUUGCUCUACCUCAGGUGACAUUCUUUUGAGUCAAGGUACAUUAUAGUUUGCCAGUCUGCCAGUGGUUGGCACGUUCCUUACUACCCAGAUAACUGCAAUCCACAACUGAUAGCAUGAUAUCCCACUCAGCAGACUUAUAUUGUGCAAGAGACCUAAUAGGACCCAAGGACCCAUGCCUCUGGACAGAGUAUACUUGCAGGAGAGGAGGAGGAACAUGUCACCUCUGGGGGUCCUAUCAUAUUCAAAUGCUAUCUAAGCUUAGUGCCAGUAUAUUUGAUAACUACAGAGAGUUGAAGAAUUCAGGAACAUAUAGGAGCUACAUGAAUGACAAUGUGUGGAACCCAAGUACUGAGUCUGAUGUAUAGCUUUUCCCUUUAAGGUAAUAGAUAAGCACUGCUCUGCUUCUCUAAGCUGUUAACUUGCUGGACAAGGACAGCAGCCAAUAUCCUGGGAUUACUCUUCCCUGGAAAAUAGUGAUUACUGUCAUAGAGAUAUAUUAGAAUUGUAGAACCUCAAGUAGGACCUGAAGUAUGAAUCCCUAUAAAAUAGGAAUGUCAAAUUGAAAUUGAAAUGGGGAGGGGGGUCACCAAUCUACCUGUAAAUAAUGUAACAUUAUCUAUAUUUUAUCUUUAUUUUGUUAAAUAUUACCAAAUUACACAUUUUAUAUGUAGUGACAAUUUUUAACAAUCAUUUUCUGACAUUUUGUAAACCAUAUUCCUCCCUCCCUCCUCCUCAAGAUGGCAAGCAAUAUAAUAUAGGCUUUACAUGUGGUAUCAUUUUUUUCCAGUUUACAUGUAGAUACAACUCUUCCAGAUAUUUUGCAAUCCAUGUUCUGUCCCUCACUACCACUGCUCCUCAUCCAUGAAAUGACAAGUAAUAUGAUAUAGGUUAUACAUGUGCUAUCAUGUAGUACUUUCCAUACUUGUCAUGUUGUAAAAGAAGACAUAUCACUUAUAUUAGAAAAACAUUUGUGAGGGAAAUGAAGUGAAAAAUGGUGUGUUUCAUUCUCAUUCAGACUCCCCAUUAGUUCUUUCUAUGGUGGUGGAUAAGCUCAUUGUGAGUCCCUGGGUGUUUUCUUGGAUCCUUGCAUUGCUGAUAAUAGUUAAAUCAUUCAUUGUACAUUAUUAUUGUGACUCUUUACAAGAUUCUCCUGGUUCUGCUCAUUUCACUUUGUAUCACUUCAUAUAAGUGUGUGUGUGUGUGUGUGUGGGCAAACAGAUGGACAGAUUGUCCCAUUUGUGACAAUUACAUUUUAAUCCAAUUUGGUUCUCACUUGGGAGUAUUAUAGGCUACAUGCAUAUUUCAUUCCUUCUAUGUGUAUAUGGAUUUUAAGAAGUGCAUGAGCUUGGGAUGUGGAAAAAAUACAUAUAUUUUUACCAACCUCUAACUGAAAUUGAUCAUGUUCUUCAAAUAUAAACUUUUAAAAAAUUAUUAUUUUGAGAAGGGGUCCAUGACCUCUCUAGACUGCCAAAGGUGGUUCUAUGACAUAAAGAAAGGUUAGUAUUUCUGGAUUCUGGUCACUGGAUUUUGUGUUUGAAGAAAUUUAAUGAUAGGAACUUAACACUUCCUGAGGGAACCUACUCCUAAUUGUUAGGAAUUAAUUCAUUUUGUGAAACCCAAAUUGAUAUCUCUGCAGCUCUACUCAUUGUGCCAAGUUCUGUUCUCAGGAACCAAGAACAAGUCUAGUCCCUUUUCCUCAAGUGAACUCUGUAGAUAUUUGAAGACAGCUAUGACUCCUUCUCCAUAGUUCUCUUCUAUUUAGAUAGCCCCACAUCCCUCAACUGGUCUUUCCAUGUAUAGUUUCUAGUCCUUUUUCAUUCAGAUAACCCUUCUCUUUAUACACUCUUCUGAAUUGUUGGCUUGUGUAAAAUGUAGUUUCCAAACUGAACAUAAUAUUCCAAAUGUAGUUGGACCACUUCAUUAGGAGCCCAAAAUGGCAGCUUUGGGCUAAAAAUUCUUACUCAUGAACACAUGUUUCUGGUUUGACUUAAUUUCUUCAUGACCUUAGAGCUGACUUACAGGUAUGGGCUUUUAUCCCCCACCCCCACCCCCACCAUUCAUCUGAGAGGUUCCUAAAAUGCUAAUGUCUUCAGGAAAUUGUCCCUUGUCAUUUUAAGAGGCCCUUAAUAAUCUCCUUAUAUUCUGAACUUCUUAUAUAAAAUUCUUAUCAUUUAACAGUGUAGAGCCAAAAAAUACUUAAAAACAAACAAGAAAUGUUUUUCUCCAUGUUCCUUUCCAAAUCCUUCUUGAGUCCUACUUUUAGUCUUGUUUUCUUUUGUCAUUUGUAGCCACGUGUAGUUGUAAUCAUUACAGGUACUGUUCUUAUUAUGCUAAUCACAUUUUACAUCCCUUCACAGAGCCUUUUGGUAUUUUCCUACAUUCAUUUUUCAAAGCUUUGCCAUUUUAUGGCAAGUAUAUCAUAACUUGUUCAGCUAUUCUCUGUAUUUUCAGAAUAUAUGUACUGUUUUCAGUUGUUAUCAAAUAACUACUAUAGUUGUUACUACUAUAUUACAUGGGGUCUGCUAGCAGAUCAACCCUACCAUAAUUUCUAUUAUCUCUUACCUUCAGCCUUUUCCUAUCAAUUCUAGCUUCUCCGAUACCAACAAACAAACAUAGUUCUCUUCCAUCCUUUAAUAAAUAACAACAAUAAACAACUACUACCCAUACUUGAUCCUACCAUACUCCUUGCUACCAUCCUAAAUCUUCCUUCCUUUUUUGUAGUUAAGUUUUUGGAGAAAGCUAUCAGUAUGUGUUGUUCCCAUUUUCUUUCCUCUUUAUAUCUUCAAAAUCCUGAAUUAUUGGCUUCGGAUCUCAUCAUAAUAAGUACAUUGUAAGUGCUAUAUAAAUGUUAGCUCUAUAUAUCUUUUAAUAUAUCAUCCAACUGAAACUGCCUCCUCAGAACUUAACUGCCAGAUCUAAUGAUCUUUUCUAAAUCCUCAUUCUUCUUGACCCCUUUAUAGCAUUUGACAUCCCUUUUCUUAUUAUUUUUUCUUUUUGGAUUUUCAUUAUACUGCUUUCUCUUGGUUCUGUCUACAUGUCUGAUCCCUCCUUAGUCUCUUUUACCUCCUUCUCUUUUACAUCAUACCCACUAAUCAAGGAUAUCACCCAAAACUAUAGUGGUCUAGAAUUCUGUUUUAGACAUGAUUAAUUUGAGAAAACAAUUGGGAAAUGCCCAUUAAGGAAAUAGUGAUAUGUGGGACUGGAGAUUAGGUGAGAAACUAAAACUGAAUAUAUUAAUCUAGAAAUGAUUUAUAGAGAUAAUGAUUGAAUCCAUGAUAGUACCCAAGUGAAUAACAUAGAAAGGAGGAGGGGAAAGAGGAGGGCUGUAGAUAGCCUUGGAGGAUAUCUACAUUUAGUGGGUAUGACAAGAUUGAAAAUCCAACAAAGGAGAUUGAAAAAUGGUCAAACAGAUAGGACCAAGAAAGAGCAGUGUGAAAAACCAGGCAGAAGAGAAUGUCCAAGAGAUAGUGACAGUGUCAGAUACUUCUGGAGAGGUCAAGAAGAACCAAUAGAUAUGAAAUUAAGAGCUCAUUGGUAAGUUGGAGGAAUGUGGUGAGCAAGCAUUUAUUAAGCACCAGAAAGUACCCUAAAGUAUUUUACAAAUACUGUCUCUUUUGAUCAUCAUAAUAACCCUUGAAGAAGGUACUUUUAUUUUUAUAGUUGAGGAAACUGAGGCAGACAGAGGUUUAGUAACUUGUCCAGAUCACAAAGCUAAUAAGUGUCUGAGAUUUGGAGAUUCGAACUCAGAUCUUCCUGACCUAAAAAUCUAGUGCUCCAUCUACUGUGCCACUUACCUGCCUAGGUGUGAGCACUUUGAAUUGAGUAAUGAAGUCUGAAGCCAGAUGACAAAGUAUUAUAGGAAGAGAGAAGAAGGGAUCACAAUGAAUAACUGUUUUCUAGAAAUAAGUCUGAAAAAGGGAGAAGCAAUAUAGGAUAUUAGCUUGAGAGCAUGGUAGAGUCUAGUUAAAGGUUUUUUUUUUUUUUUUAAAGGAUGGAGAAGACAAGCAUAUUUGAAGGUAGGGUGAAGGAAUGGUAGGUAAAGAAGAAAGAUAGGAGGAAUGAUUAAAAAGAUAAUUUACUGAAGAAAAGAAGUCAAGGCAUGUAGGUUCUUUUGUUGCUGUUAUUUAAUGCCGUCUUUAGGGUUUAGCCCCAGUAAAGGAAUCUUACUGGGUAAAAAAAAAUAUGAAAAAUUUCCCAACUUUUAUUUCAUCUUGUCAUAUUUGUUCUCUAGAAUGCUGAUACCAAUCUACUGCUCACUGGCAACAUAUUAAAAUGCCUCCUUCCCACAUAGAUCUGCCAACAUGAAAUUUUAUCAUUUCCUUGUUAAUUUUGCUUUUCUAGUGGGUGUAUAAUUCUUAAUUAGCAUUUCUUUGAUUAUUAGGGAAUUUGAGCACAUUUUCAUAUGAUUAUUAACAUUUUGUAAUUUCUCCUUUAAAAAAUUACCUGUUUUGAACUUUACUUUUACCAUUGUUUCUUUGAGGUAUGUAUAUUAGUCUUAUGGAUAUAUAUUUUUUAAAUAGGUCUUGUGUGAAAACCUUUAUCUGAUGUAUUUACUGCUAACAUUUUCCCUCUAUCCUGUUUUAUUUUCCUUAAUUUUCAGAAGUAUUGCUUUUUGUUGGAGAAAAUCCUUUCAUUUUUAUAUAAAGAGGUCUAUUUUGUUAUAAGACCCUAAUGUACUUUGAUGAUAUUCUAAUAUUUGUAUGAUGUUUUACAUUUUUGAAAGUGCUGUGUUUAACACAAAUUUAUUCUUUUGACCCUCACAGAAGUUGGGCAAGUAUUUUCAUGACUUUAUAUGGAAAGUUGUGACUUGCCCACAGUCAGAUAACUAGCUAGUGGUAAAGUUAGCUGGCAUUUUUAUAGUGCUUUAAAGUUUGCAAAGUGCUUUACACAUAUUUUAUUUGAUCAUCACAACAUCUCUGGGAAGUAAGUAUUAUUAUUAUUAUCCUUUUUUUCACAGAGGAGAAAAUAAACAGAGGUUUAUUGACUCAUCUAAGGCCAUAGUGGUAACAAUUAAUGUCUGAGGUAGGAUUUGACCUCAGGUCUUCCUGAUUUUAAGUCUAAUAUAUCAAUCUGUGCCACCUAGCUGCCUCAGAAAGUAGUGGCUUCAGGGUACCUGGGUAGCUCAGUAGAUAGAGAGCCAGGCCUGAAAAUGUGAGGUGUUAGGUUCAAAUAUAGCCUCAGACAACUUCCUAGCAAGUCAAUUAACACUAAUUGCUUCUCUCUUUUCACUCUUCUGCCUUGAAAUGGACACACUUAUUGAUUCUAAGACACAAGGUAAGAGUUAAAAAAAAGUAGUGACUUGAACUCAGAUCUUUUGUACCAUUUUUAGAGUAAAACCACAAUAAAGUAAUCUUUUGCUGGAUCAAAAAAGGUAUGAAAAAUUUCCCGAGUCAUUUCUUAUUCCUAUAUUGCUCUCUAGAAUAUUGGCAUGCCCAGUCUGUUAGGAUUUAUGCUACUCAUUAUGAUACAGUAGUUACUUAAAAAUCAUGAUUGAUUUUCGAUAUUUAUACAAAUAUAUAUAUAUAUAUAUAUAUAUAUACACACACAUGUGCACAAAAUCCUCCUGAGUAGAAAUGUUUUUAAAAUGCAGUCUUUUUAAAAAUAGAGACUCUAGAAAAAGCUCAUUUUAAUUGUAAAUAUUUUUGUCACUCCAAAGAGUAUUGCUGUCUCUGAAAAAGAUUGGAGAGUUGCAAACAAUUUAGAAAUUUUGGCAGGUUAUAUCACAUUUGUUACUAUUAAUACUAGUGGUAUUAACUGUUCCCAGAAAAUGUACAGUCUAUUCAGAAUAGCCAGAUUAAAACAUCAAGAUGAUAGUUCAAACCCUAAAUAUACAGUUAUAAGUAUUAAGUGAAUGAAAGUUUAUACAGGGUAAACCUAAGAAAGAUCUUUUACUGAAUCCUGAAGAUUUUAAAGUCAUAUUUAUGCUAGUAUUAUUAAAGCUAUCUCUAGAGCAGUGGUGUCAAACUCAAAUAGAAAUGGUAGUCACUAAACCAUACAUAAGAAUCCUUGAGGGCUACAUAUUGACUUAGAAAAUGACACGUUUACAUAUUUCUUUUUUUACUAAUACGCCACCACAUUAAAAUCAGAUAGGAGCCACAUUUCAGUCUGGUUCAGGUGGCCAGUUGUGGACCACAUGUGAGCCCUGCAGGCUGUAGGUUCGACACUUUUGCUGUAGAUUAUCCACCUUGGGGAGAAGCCAUUCAUGUUGAACUGUUACUCUUUGGAACCAUGUAUUCCACUGUUGAGAGACUAUCUUCUCUGUAUUGGCAAUCUUGGCAUCAUAUUUGUAUCUCAUCUUUAGUACAGAGGUAGCCAAGUACAGAGCAAAGACAAUUUAGACUUAAAUCCCACUUCUUAAGUCAUUGAAUCAUCCCAGCUCUCAUUAACUUUAAUGGUAAAAUGAGGGGUUCAGCUUAGAUGGCCUCUUUGUGAUUUUUGAUCAUGAAUGUUUUCUUGGCUCAUCACUUUCAUUUUUAUUUUUUGUUUUUGCAUGAUAUUCAUUUCUGAAUAAAUCCCUCCCAUUCAAUGAGCUUUUUCUCGUAAUAAAGAUUGAAUAUAUGUGGGUAUACAUACACAUAAUAGAGUUCUUGAUUUUUUUAAGUGGAGAGUUCUAUAAACCUCUAUGUGAUGUGAAUUUCCCUGAGGAAGUGGGGAAGGAGGAAGGAAAGGGGGCUUCAGCUUAUGGGUGGAUGGGCACAGCACAGGGUUCAAAGAUAUGUUGGGGUCCAAGGACACUGGGGACUGGGGUAGGGGUGAUGAUAGAGUUGAGCAAAAGGCUUCUUUUGGCAUGGGAGGUCUCAAACUGAGCUGCUGUUUUGAUUUGGAAGGGGUUUUUUGUUUUCUUUUUCUUUCUUUGGUGUGGAAGUAGGAGGCCCCAGAGCACCAAGGGGGAAGGGGCAGGAGCAGGAGGGGUGAGAGAGGGCCCAGUACUGUUCAGUAAAAGUUAACAUAAGAGGGUUUUUUUGGAAUGAGGAUUCCUUUCAGAGUUCUUUACCUAAAGUUGAAUUUGCAUAAUGAAAAUUUAUUUAAAAUGAGAACUAUCUAUAUACAUAUAGAGUUCAGUAAAACCAAUUAAUAGACAUAUCAGCCACAUCUGAUAGCAUCUGCAAUAUUCCACAACCAAAGCCCUCAGAUGUACAAUGAAGGGAAGUGGAUAUAUUUUCUCAGUUUCUCAUAACUUACUAACAACUCCUUUGGGUCUCCAAUUAUUUGUGACAGGUUUCAGUUCAAAAAUCUUUUUUUUUUUUUAAUUGAGAGGAUAGUUGGAAAAAAUUGGGCCAAAACUUUUGAUUUUGGAUACUGCUGAGAUACAUAUACUUAUACAUACAUCCUUUGGCUUUAAAAGAUAAUUUUUCUUUGACCUUUCCAUUUGGACAUUUUGAUCAAUGGCAUACUUUUUAAUGGUAGUUCAUCAUUUGUCUUUCAGAGCAUCUUGCAGUGUUCUGUUUAAUCCUAGGUGUGAAAGUAUAUGUAGACAAUCCAAAUAUAAACUUAGAUAUUGAGAUUUCUAUAAACCAGUCCACAAGAAUUUCUAAAGUCCUUCAUAGUAAAUAGUUUUUAAAAAUCAUUCAUUUCAUUAAAUCAAUUCAUUAUUUUAAGUACCUGGAUAUAACCUCAAGAUAGGGACUCUCUGCUGACCCCAAUCAUCCUCCCCACCCUGACAAUGAUUUAGUAGACAGCUUUCUUUAAGAGUUGCUCUGCCUGAAAAAUGAAUUACUCUGUAGCUGACUAGGUUGUGUUAAUCUAUGUAUUAAUCCAGGCUGGUUCUUAGGUAACAAAAGCAUAGCCCAUAAAUCUGGAAGCCUUUCCAACUUGCUAAGACUCACUGGAGUUUGUGUUUCCCUAACAUAGCCUCAGUCUUAUGCAGUGGGAGGUGGACUUGAGGCUUAUCAACAAAAUGAUAAAUUGUCUAAGUCCAGUAUAUAGCCUUUGUGAAAGUGGAAAAUUUGCCACACCUGAGCUACUUUCCCAGCAUCCUUUUAAGUUAUGUCCUCAUUUUAUAUAAGGGGAUUGGGAGAUAAAUUUGGCUGAGACCCACGCUGUGGGGAUCUUUUUUGAGAGCUUGCGCUUUUGGUAAAGUGCUGCAGGUGUGAGUCUCUCACUCUCUUUGCUCACUUGACUGAAAGAACCCUUUUUCUUUUCCUUCUCUUUUGAUUUAUUAUUAAAAGCCUACACUUCACUAAUUCUCAAAGGCUACCAACCAGCAAUUAGAACAUUGAAGCUAUCUCCUAGGAUCAGAAUAACUUAAGGAGUAAACUAGUAGGAUGGGGAGGGAGCCUGUCCUGGGGUCAAAUUUGACCUCAGAAACUUCCUAGCUGUGUGACCCUGGGCAAGUCACUUAACUCUAUUUGCUUAGUCCUUUACACUCUUCUGCCAUAGAACCAAUAAUUUUGAUUAUAAGACAUAAGGUAAGGGUUUAAAAAAAAGAGUAAACCCUAGGCUCUAAACUCCCUUAGUCAUUCAGUCAAUAAGCAUUUAUUAAAUACCUAGUAUGUGACAGGUAUUGUGCUGUUCUAGAUAUUCCAAAAGAAUAUUGAUCUGCCCUUCUUUUGAAAGGAAGUAGUUACUCAAGGGAAUGGAGGUAGGAAAUAUAUCAGAGGUUGGCACAGACUUUUUAGAAGUCAUUUGGUCUUAAGUUCUAUCUGAAUCAUGAGAGCCUUUCCAAAAUUAAAUUAUUUUCAUUUCUCCUUAGCCUGAGGAUCUUCAGUGAUUCUAUGUCACAAUAAUAGACAUAGGUCUGCUCAGAACAAAGGACAAUAGGAUUAUCACCUCACUUGCUCUGGUCUCUGUAUGAUGCCUCCAUGACUAUGGCAUAAGAUCUCAUUUGCUUUUUUGUUGUCAUAUCAGAUUCUUAUUAAAUUUUUAGCCCUAUGAUGUACUAGAGAGACAUUGUAGGAGACAGAAAAGAUGUAGUGUGGGCUGUCCACAACAACUCACAUUUAUGUGGCACUUAAAAGUCUACAAAGUGUCUUACCAUAAGCCAUUGAAGUAGAUAUUAUAGCUUUUUAAUUAUCGUCAUUUUAUAACUGAGGAAAUUGAGGCUUAGAAAAGUUAUAACUUGCUUGUGGCCACCUAAGUGAGGUUAGUCAGGACUUAACCCUAAUUCCCCUUAUUAAAAAUCCGGUGCUCUUUCCAGUUUUACCAUACUGCUCCUUAGGGAACCUAUAUUGUUGUUGUAGAGACACAACUAAUUCAAUUCAUCAGAUAAAUCAAAGUCUUGUCCCUGGGCACAGGGGACAUGAAGGUUAAAAACAAUAGACCCUAUAUAUUUAUUGAACUAGAAAAAAUAAUGACAAAAUUUCAUUUGGAAAAGCAGAAGGUUAAAAAUAUCAAAGGGAAUAAUGAAAAAAAAAUGCUAAAAAAAAGAGGUCCAUCAGUACCAGAUUUCAAACUAUAUUAUAAAGGAGUAGUUAUCAAAAUUAUCUGCUACUGGCUAAGAAAUAGAAAAGUAGGUUAGUGGAACAGAAUAAAAGCAGUAAAAGAUUAUAGUACCCUUGUGUUUGACAAAAACAAAGAUCUAAGUUUUGGGAAUAAGAAUUUAGAGUUUGGUAAAAAAUCGUUGGAAAAAUUGGAAAGCAGUUGGGCAGAAACUAUAUGUAGAACAAUAACUUACACCAUUUACCAAGAUAGUAUCAAAAUGAAUACAUAAGUUAGGUAUAAAGGAAGAUAUAAACAAGUUUAAAAACAGGGAACAUAUUCCCUAUCAGAUUUAUGGAUAGGAGAAGAAUUUAUCAAUAAAUAAUGUAAAAUGAAUAACUUUGAAUAUGUUAAAUUGAAAAGUUUUGCACAAAUAAAACUAUUAUAGCCAGGAUGAAAAGAAAAGCAAUAAAUUGGGGAACACUUUUAUACACAGGUCUCAGAGAUAUCAUAUCUAAAAUACAAAAAGAAUUUUGUCAAAUAUAUAAGAACAUGAGCUAUUCCCCAGUUGAUAAAUGUUCAAAAUAUAUGAACAGACAAUUUUGGAUGAAGAAAUUAAAGCUAUACAUAACUAUAAAAAUGUUCUAAAUCAUUAUUAAUUUUGUAAAGGUGAUAUAAACAAUUGGCUGGGAUUUUACUUGACCUGAGGGCUCCCCCUGCACCUGCUAGUUCUCUGUAUUCUGUUCAACUCUACAUGUUCACUGUUACUUUCUUUCCUUUCCCAAAUUUCCCUUAAUAAUUAGAGAAAUGCUAGUCAAAACAAUUUUGAGAUAUCUCACACCUAUUAAAUUUGCUAAAAUGAUAAAAAAGACAAAGUGAUAAAUAUUAGAGGGGAUGUGGAAAAAUGGGGACAGCAAUAUAUUAUUGAUGGAUCUGUGAACUAAUCCAAGCAUUUUAGAGAGCAAUCUGAAAUUAUAUAAGAAGUAUAAAAUUGUGUUUACCUUUUGACCCAGUAAUGCCACUAUUGGGUUUAUUUUCUGAGGUGAUCAAGGAAAAAGGAAAAGAAACUAUAUGUCCUAAAAAUGUAUAUACCCUCUUUUUGUGGUGGCAAAGAACUGGAAAUGGAAGGGGUGUCCAUCAUUUGGGGAAUGGCUGAACAAGUUGUGGUAUAUGAUUGUAAUAGAAUACAUUGAUACCAUAAGAAAUGACAAACAAGCCGAUCACAAAAAGAGCCUGGAAAGACUUGGCUAGAAUGAUAUAAAGUGAAGUGAGAGAAUCUGGAGCACACUGAACAUAGUAACAGCAAUAAUGGAUGAUGAUUAAAUGACUUAACCAUUAUCAACAAGGCAAUGAUCCAGGACAAUUCCAAGGGACUCAUGAUGAAAAAGGCUAUCCACUGCCAUAAAAGGAACAGAGGGAAUCUGAAUGCAGAUCGAAACAUACUUUUCUUCAUUUUAUUUCCUCCAUGAAUUUUUCUCUAACCUAAACAAUAUGUGUCUUGUUUCACAACAUGAUGAACAGGGAUGUUUUAUAUGAUAAUAUAUGUAUAACCUAUAUCAUAUUAUCUGCCUUUUGGGAGGGGGAAGAGGAAAAAGGGGGGAAAGGAAUGAAAAAUUUUUGGACAUAGCUAAUGUGAGAAUUUAUUUCUCUUGGAUAGACAUAUUAUAAUUUGUUAUAUAUUUAGAACAAAUCAUAUUUUAUAUGAUCAUUAUCUUACAUAUGAUGUUAUAGAUAAAAACAAAUGACAAAGAGGAAGAAAAAUACUAUAGCAUUAUGAAAUAAAAAUAUGAAUAGAAUUUUAAGAUAAAACAUUUUAAAAAUCAUUUUAUUUUAAAUACAAAACUUUUUCUCAUUAGAAUUUAAAGAGUUUUGUUAACAAUAAAAAAAAUAGACCUUGAGCUCAAAGAGUUUUAUGUCUAAUGAAUUGAACCAUUUAUUAGGUACAGUGCUAGGCACUAGGGGUAGAGGUAUGAACGUCAAAGAAAAUCUCUGUCCUCAAGGAAAUGAGUUUCUAUUUGGGGGAGUUAUGUCCAGGUGAAGGGCCAUUGUGUACUGAUGUAAAAUAAAACAUGGUUUGAUUGAUUUAGGCCCGCUAUCAGACAUUGCAGACCAUAGGAGUUUGCCAGUCUCCCAGGGAAUAGGACCAUUUUUUUCUGUCAGGGCAAAAUCACACCAUCAAAUAUGACUCAAAGGAAAAUGAGAUCAUUGUUGUUUGUCCUUUGUUUUCAAAGUGGACUAAUGACAUCAUGAUUCGGGGGUCAGAGUACAGUAUGUUUAAUUGUGGUUGAUUAGAGCAAUAGAAUGCGCCAAAUAGCAGUUUGGAAGACUCUAUUCACAGGUUGGGCACAAAUAGACUAUAGAGUAUUUGGGAUGGAAAUGUCUCUAGGUCCGCACAUUUCACAUUUCCUUUGUACUCUUAGGAUUCUGCUUUGCUCAUAGAGCACAGCACCUUCUUUGAUGUGGGCAUACCAUUCUGGAUGGUCCUGUGCCAGCAUCUCCCAUGUUUCAUAAUUGAGUUCUUCAGAGAAACUUUGAGAGUGUCCUGGACUAAUCAAUUAUAGCCUCUUGGAAAAGAGAAUUAAAGUGGGCUUUGAAGGCUGGAUGGUAUUUGGCUAAGUAAAGCGGAGGUUCAUUAUAGAUGGUACAUAGAGUUGGGGAGAGGGGAAAGAGGCUAAAGUCUAGGCAGCUGGUGCAGUAAUUCCUCUUUUUCCUUUGUUUCUUAGACAGUUAAGACUUUCUUGGGUUUCCUGGAUAUGCUCAGUGGUUUAAUAUGGAUUUUGUCCAACUGCUUGUAUCUCAGGGGAAUUUGGGAUAGAUGGAUGGAAAUUUUUGCAAACUUUUUAUUUAUCUGAAACAGUGUGGUGUCCUAAAAUGGCACUGGACUCAGAGCUCAAGGACCUGGGCUUGAUUUCCAGGUAACCUAUUUACUAUGGUACACAAAUCACUUAAUCUCUGUGGAGCUUUAAUUUCUUUAUCUAUAAAAUGAGAGAUUUGGGUUUAAGAUCCCUUGCAGAUCUAAAUCUAUGGUUGUCGCAUCAGGUGUGGAAUGUAUUGGUUUUGAGUGUUUUCCCUAUUUUUUUUUAGUUGUUCAGACAACAGGAAGAGGUUGGGGUGCUAUAUUUAAAACUGCUAGUUAUUUUGUUUUUUAUCAAAGAAGUCAUAAAGAAUGAUAUUGGACACCUUAUAUCUCUUCUUUGGACCUUAUUUUACUUAUCUAUGAAAUGAGAACUUGACUAGAUCCUGUGUUUCCAGGGUUUCCUUCUAGACUGAGAUCCCUGUGGUGGUGCAUACAUCAGUCUCUGGAACUAUCAAAGAAAACUGCUUUGCAGCUUCUUUCCUAGAGGAAUUCCUCAGAUCCUAGGAAUUGCUCACAAAAAAAAAAACAAAAACCCACAAAAGAACAAACAAACAAAAAAAACUUUGUCUUAAUAGAUCUCAGUGGAUACAGAGGACAAAUCACCCUCAACACAUAUGCCCUUGGUUCUGCCAAGAAGGAAAAGCCUAAAACUUGUCAGUUCUGUCCUGAGUGACUUGGUGAUUUCUUCUAGGAAGUGCAGAGCGAGACACUAACUGAGCAUGAAAGUAGAGGUGGGGAGGGGAAGGAAAAUCAUUUUCUAUUUCCAGCAUCUUCAUUUUUAAAUCAUGAAAAAAUCCCUUUCAAUCAGAAAGGAUUUACCAAGGUUCUGAUGAGAACAAAGAUAGAAGAAUAGCAAUCUUUUAAGCAGCAGGGCCCAUAUAGGUAGUGCUUGGUAGGGCUCUGGAUAACCUGGGAGUGCUAUGUGAAUGCUUUGUUGGUAGAGGGAAGGCUCUAAUCUUUUUAUACCAAUAGUCUAUCCUCAGUGAUUUUCUGGAGGAAAGAUCAGUGAAAUGUCUUUUAUUUGUUGGUGGUAGUUAUUAGCCAUUCUUUCCUCCUUGGUUUGUCCUUUUUAUACCAGUCUAGGCAAGGGGAAAGGGCAGCUAGAUGGUGAAUAGGAUAGAGUGCUGGUCCUGGAGUAAGGAAGACCUACCUUCCUGAGUUCAAAUCUGACCUGCAACAUUUACUAGCUGUGUGACCCUGGGGAGUCACUUCACUUGGUUUGCCUCAGUUUCCUCAUCUGUAAAAGAAAACGGAGAAGGAAAUGGCAAACUACUCUAGUUUCUUUGCCGAGAAAAACCUAAGUGGGGUCACAAAAAGUCAGACACAACUGGAAGAGCUAAACAAUAAAAAAGCAAGAGAGUCCCAUUCUUUCUGCCAGAAAGUGAGAAUAUCAAAGAAGAAAUGGGAUUACAAUUAGACAGUCUUGUUUAUCUGAAGAACUUCCUCUGGGUAAAUCCCUCUAUCCUAAUUAUAAUAAUAACCUCCAUUUCAAUAAUGCUUUUAGAUUUACAAAGCACCUUUCCUCAGAGGAAAAGCAAAUCUCUUGAGUAACAGGAACCAGAUAAGCUAGGAAAUCAUUAAUUAUAUAUUAAACUCCUACUAUUUGCCAAGCACUAUGCUAGGCCUUGAGGAUACAAAUACGAAAGUUAAACAAGGCAGUUCCUGCCCUGAAGAACCUUACAUUCUACUGGAAUAAGUAUUAUUGACCCUGUUUUUUUACAGAUAAUGCUUCAAUUUUCCUGUCCAACCUUAUCUCAUAUUGCUUUUUUUUUUCUGCUAAACUCAGAUCAGUCUCUAUCUCCCACCCACCCCUUCAUGUGAGAACAUUUUACCUUGCAUUCUUCUUAAUGUGGGAUACCUGUCAUAUACUUCCAUUUGUUUAUGAGCUCUUAGAGGACAAGGACUAUAUCUUUUUUAUCCUUGUAUUCUCAGCACUUAGUAUGUAUAUAGUACUAUGCAUAUUGUAGAUUCUAGAUAGAUGUAAUAUUGUUGAAUGGGGAAGUUGCUAUAAAAAGAUAGACUUAAAAAAUUUAAGACGAGAAAUAGAUCAAUGGAAUGGACUACAGAACCUGUAAUUAGAACCAAAUCAUGUAAAAGGUUAGUAUUUGAUAAGCCUAUGCUUAGGUACUAGCAAAAAAAAAAAUCACUUAUUAAUUAAAAGUUCCUGAAAAAAAAUCAGAUAAUUUUAUGACAAAAAUGAGUUUGGAUCCAUUCUUUAUGACAAUAAACUCUUAACUGAAUGAAUGGCCUUCAUGCAUUUUUUUUAAACUGGAAAAAGUAAUAAUAUUUAUUUCAGUGAUAGAGGAGGGACCUUUUUAAUUCAAACAAAUAGAUGUUAUUGAAGACAAAAUUUGUUCUGUUAUAUAAAGAUAAAAGGGGGAGAUUUUUUAGUAUAAUGAAGCAGUAUCAAUAAGAAGAAAAGAAAGACUUGGAAAAAUAUUUAUAGUAAGUAUAUUAGCUAACCACAUCAUAUACCAUCUCAUAAGAAGCCUUUACUCAUUCUCCCCAGCUUUCAGGCUCCCUCACUAACUUUGUAUUUAUUUUGUCCAUACCUACAUAUGUACAUGUUGUAUCCCCAAAAAGAAUUGUUUUGUUCAUUCUUUCAGUCAUCUUUCAUUUUAUUGGAUUGUUUGAUCCAUUCACAUAUAAAGUUAUGAGUACUUAGUUUAUGCAUUCUUCCAUUCAUGUUCACCAAUAGAAUGUCAGUUUCUUGAGGAAAGAAACCAUUUCACUGUACUUUUCGUGUCCUCAUCACCCAACACUAUGACUGUCACACAAUAGGUGCUUAAUAAAUGUUGUUUGCUGGCUUAACUUCUCUUUCUAUGUAUAAUGUUGAUUCUCUUAAGUAGAUAUAAACUCCUUGAAGGCAAUAUUUGUUUCAUUUUUCACUUUUGUGUUCCUAUUGCACAGCACAGUGCCUGGCACUUGGGUGCUUAAUGAAGCUGAUUGAUGGAUUUUUGAGUCUAAUACUCCCCAAUGAAAUGACAAUUAGAGCCCAAGGAGAUCCAGAAAAGGGGGGGAGGAUCUAAUUAUAUAAAAAUAUUUACAGUUGCUCUUUUUGUGGUGGCAAAGAAUUAGAAAUUGAAGGGAUGUCCCUCAAUUGGGGAAUGGCUAAACAAAUUUGGUAUAUGGUGGUGAUGGAAUACUAUUAUUGUGUUAUAAGUAAUAUGAUGAGCAUGAUGAUUUCAGAAAGAACUGGAAAGACCUACAUGAACUGAUGCAGAGUGAAAUAAGCAGAACCAAGAGAACAUUGUACAACACAAUAAUAGCAGUAUCGUGGAAUGAUUAGCUGUGAUAGCUACUCUCAGCAGUACAAUGAUUCAGGAUAAUUCUAAGGGAUUUAUGACAAGGAAUGCUAUCUACCUCCAGAGAAAGAACUAUUGGAGCCAGAAUGCAGAUCAAAGCAUACAGUCUUUCACUUGUUAAUUUGGGUUUCUGUUUGAGGGUUUUGGUUUUAUAUGAUUAUUCACUUAUAAGCAUGAAUAAUAUGGGAAUAUGUUUUGUAUGAUAAUACAUGUAUAAUCCAGAUCAAAUUGCUUGCCAGCUUGGGGGGGGAGGGAUAUAGAGGAAGGGAGACAAUUUGGAUCAUUUAACUUCAGAAAACAUGUAGAAAUUUAUUACAUAUAAUUAGCAAAAGAAUUAAUUAAAAAAUAAAGAAAUGAUGAUCAAAGGGUAUGAAGGAAUAAUUUUAGGAAAAUAAAAUAGAAACUAUUAACCACCUAAAAAGGUAUUCAUAUUCCACAAUACUAAGAUAAAUGCAAAUCAAGAAAGUCUUAAGAAACUCUUUUACCCUCAAGAAUGGCAAAAUAAUAAAACAAUAACUUCAAAUAUUGUGACCCUAGAAAAAUGAGAGAUUGUAAUACAUUGUUAGUGGAAUGUACAAACAUACUGGAAAGAAAUAUGACCAUCUAUAAUAAGUCUCAGAACUGAUCAUACAUAUAUUUUGACCCAACAGUUCCAUUGCUAGGAAUUUUAUCAAAAUUUAAGAAUGACUUAUCUCUUCACAAUAUUAUAGUUGCUUUAUUAAUAACAGAAAAUUGGAAAUAGCUUAUAUAUCUAUUGGAAAAUAUAUUCUGGAAUGAAAAUGUAAAAGACUAUUGUGAUGCCACAAAAUGAAUAAUUUUGAAUAUAAGAAAAAAUAGACCCAUAUGAAGCUGUGUAGAGUAAGGGUAGCAAAGCCAGGACUGUACACACAUCAAUCAUAAUGAAACAAAAAGGGGGUAAUAUGAUCAAAGUAUAGGAAGUCACUGGAUCCCAGAAUAAUUAGAGAAUGCCUUCCAUUUGAAGCUAGCCAGGUAAACUCCCUACAAAUAUGUAGUCAAUUUAUGGAGCUCAUAUUAGUUUGUAAACUCUCUAAAAGGGGGAAAUUGUGUCUUAACUUGGAAUAUUUUGAAUAAUGCUUAAUAGAUACUCAAAUAUUUGUUGAAUCAGUUACUUUCAAGAGGUGGUACAUGCUGAAAAGUACAAGUUUAAAAAAAUUAAACUAAACUAAAGUUUAUGAAUGAUAGAUCCAUAAUGGGGAUUUAGGGCUUUUACUUGAACUCCUUGAAUUUGAUCUGAAUACUCUCUCUUCAGUCUGCUCUUGAGAGUCUAGGUAGAGAGAGAACAUGGGACUUUCUUAAAAUCCUAUCUUACUGGAAACCUUCCCCAAUUCCUCUUAUUUUUAAUAUCUUCCCUCUGUUAAUCAUCUCCUAUUUAUCCUACAUAUAGUUUGCUUUGUAGAUACUUGGUUGCACAUUGGUUUCCCCAUUAAAUUGGAAACUUCUUGAGGUCAGGCUCUUUUCAAAUACACUGGCACCCAGUAGAUGCGUAAUAAAUGUUUAUUGAUUGAUUGGUUGGAUGGGUCGCUUAUGGUCGCUUAUGCUCUUAAGCACUAUAGAAUAUGGGAAGAAGUGGAAGGAAACUUAUCAGAGAAUGUGACUUCAAAUCCUGCUGCUUAAUACAUAUGUGACUAUGAACAAGAUAUUUACCUCUUUGGGCCUCAGUUUACUCACUCAUUAAAUAAGGGGAUUGAAUUAGAUAUUCUUUAAUGUCCUUUACUGUAAUGUCUAGGCAAUUACCCCUCACCCACCACUCACAGAUGCAAGGAAGAGUUGCCUGCUUGCUUCAUUGUAUCUGGAUGCCCUUUUUGGAAACCUUUAUCUAAGUUUGUAUUAUAUAGUGGUGCUUUGCCUGCUCAAUAUUGUGGUUAGAAAUAGUUGUUUCUCCUCAGGGUCUGUGAAGCAGAGAUGGAGAAGAGAUGGGCUGCUUGGAACCUGAGUAUUGUUGCUAUCUGUUGGUUAACUAGAGCUUUGUUUCUCUAGUUCUGAAAAAGAGUUAAUACUUAGAGGGUGGUUGUUUUAAAUGACUAAUUAAUGGUUGUAUAGUAUUACAAAAAUAUGAAGUGCUGUUUAAAUGCUUAAUAAUCAUGUUAGCUUGCAGAAUUGUAAUUUCAAGAGGUAUGGUUUAGUUGCUGAGAUUAUGAUGCCCUUUGGAGGGAAGGAUAACAAAAUUAAAGCUAUUUCCAACUACUUUUUUGGCGGUUAUUCUGCAUUUGUUCCUGCUUGCCUCUGAAAAUUACCUUUAUUUUUCUAAAUUGCUACUUAUUAGGGAUGACCAGUUCACUAAUUUAUAACUGCUGGUAGUUUGAGAAGCCCAAGGUCUAAGACCCUGUUGUAACUCAGAUAUACUGAUUUUGAAGCUGUAUGAUUCAACUAAUUAUUGCUCAAGUGGGAUACAAAGUUAAGUAGGGCAAGUGGCUUUUGAUCAAUUGAUGUCUGUGUGGGUGCAGGUAGGGAUUAUGUUGGAACUUUGAAGUGUCUAUCAGAUAGUGACAGGAUCAAGGGAUGGUUAAUCACCUGCCAUGUAACUUCUGACUUUAAUUUGUUAUAUAUUUUUGUUGGCAUUUAUUUCUAUGUAAAUAUUAAGGUAAUAUUAAUUAGACAAUAUAUCAUAUAUAAUAAUGAAAUUAUGAUUUUAGAGACCUAGAAGAAAUAUAGAAGGAAAAAAGGGUCCUUCCUUUUUGUGAGAAGCCUUUGGAUAACAGCAACAACUGACAUUAGUAUGUAUUAUAGGUUUUAGACCCUUUUUUAUUUAUACACUUUACAAUUUGAGAAUAUACUAUCACAUUUGCAUGUCACAACAAAUAGCGUGAAGUACGUAGUACAGAUGGUAUCUAUUUACUAGACAAGAAAUUUGAUGCUUAGAAAUGCUAAAUGACUUGUUUAUGACCAUUUAGCAAAAGGUAUCAGAGGCAUAAUUUGAACCCAGGUUUUCUUUACUCCAAGUCCAGUAAUCCAGUUGCUAUGGAACUACUCAAAUGUGGUCAAGACAGUGUUCUUGGUAUCACGAGAUUUGUAUACUAAGGAAACUUUAUGGUAUAAUUGAUAGUGCAGGACUUGGAGUCAGAAGAAAGAUCUGAGUUCAAAUACUGCCUCUGACAAUCAUUCGCUUAGUUACUCUGGGCUCUCUACUUUAGCUUUCUCUUCUAUAAAAUUUAGAUGAUCUUAUUGGGAGACUUUAAUGAUAUAAUAUGCAUAAAGUAUUUUGCAAACCUUCAGGUGCUCUACCAAUGUCCAUUUUUAUUAUGCUUAGCUAAUUUUAAAUUCUAUUCCAAUAAUUACUUUUGUUCUGUUUCCCCAUCCCUUCCCACUUCUUCCUAUCAGUGGAUUCUUUCCUUUCUCUGUACAAUUGUUAUACAAUGAAUAAAAAUUUUAACUAGAUAUUAAGAGCAUGGUUUACCCUUAAAAAAAUAAUACUUACCUUCUGUCAUAAAAUCAGUACUAAGUAUCAGUUCCAAGAUGGAAGAGUAAGUACUAGACAAUUGGGUUAAGUGACUUGCCUAUAUAGGGCACAUAUGGCACUCACAUAGCUAGGAUAUAUGAGGCCAUAUUUGAACCCCAGACCUCACAUCUCUAGUUCCGGCUCUCUAUUCACUGAACCACUUAAGCUGCCCCCAUGGUUUACUCCCAUUUCUCAGAAGGGUUUCUAUGUGAACCUGUAUAUUGCUAUCUUGAUGGCAUAAAUCAAAUUAGCUGUGAACUCUGGUUUUGCGAAUUUGAUAAAAAUUAUUUGACUUUUUGAACUAGGCAAGCCAGUAUUCUUUUCAUCUCUAGUGCUACAAUGAUGGGGUGUGUGCCCUGACUCUCCUUUGUACACCAUCUUAUUCAGAAAGUUAUUUAUAAUAACAAGAAAAUUUAUAUGAUCAUUUCUGAAGGACAAAGUACAACCUGUUGUGUUGAAUAUUGGCACUUGUACUGGAGGUUUUCAAUCAAACAUAUGCUAUCAUUUAGAUUCUUAUUACAGACCGUGCUCAAACACUACUCUGAAAAACGGAGGCAGGAUAUUUUUAAAUUGUGACCCUGUAAGCUGCUUUGUAAAGCUUAAAACCCUUUGGCACACCUGGACCAUUGCAAUAGUUUGUCUCCCAGCCUCAACUCACCCACUCCAAUCUAGCCUUCAUUCAUACUCAGCUGUCUAAUUGGUCUUCCUAAAGUGCAGGGCUGUCUAUAUCACCCUCUUAUUCAGUAAAUUCCCUGUUACUUCCAGGAUCAAGUAUAAUAUGUUCUCUUUGGCUUUUAAAGCCCUUCAUAACCUUGCCCUUUCCUAUUUUUGCACUCUUCUUCUUUUAAACCCCUUCCUUUGGUCUUAGAAUCAAUAUUAUGUAUUGGUCCCAAGGCAGAAGAGCUAUAAGGUCUUGGCAAUUGGGGUUAAGUGACUUGCCCAGGGUCACUGUGGGAAGCCCAGUCUGAGGUCAGAUUUGACUCCAGAACCUCCUGUCUCCAGGUCUGGUCUUCUAUUUUGUGAGCCACCUAUCUGCCCCUUUUCCACUCACCUUUCACAUUACUUUCAAACAUAUAUACGUCAGUGUAGUGACAAUAGCCCUGCCCAUCCUUGAACACACUACUCAGCUUCUCAUCCUAAUUGUUUUUAUUGAAUCUCCAUUAUGCUUGAAAUUCUUUCACUCUUCAUCCCUCUUCCUGGAUUCCCUCACUUCAGGUCCCUGCUAAAACCUCACCAUCUAUGAAGGUGUUCCUGAUUCUCCAUGACAUGCUGGUGCCUUCCUCUGAAAUUGUCUUGUUUGUAUCUAGCAGUUUGCAUAUUGUCCUCUCCCAUUGGAAUGUGAGCUUUUUGAGAGCAUGGAGGAAAGAGAAAGGAAAUGAGCAUUUAUUAAGCACCUGCUUUGUGCUGGGCACUGGGCCAAGUGCUUUCCAGAUAGUCUCUCAUUUGAACCUCACAAUGCUGUAAAGUAGGUCUAUUUUACCGCUGAGGAAACCAUAAAAAUAAGCAAAAAAAUAAUAAUAAUUUGUAAGGGGAUAGCUAGGGCUACCCUGAGAGAGAAACAGGAAUGUGAGGCCCCGGGUUCAAAUUUGGCCUUAGCCACUUCUUAGCUGUUUAAUCAUAGGCAAGUCACUUAAUCCUCAUUACCCAGCCCUUUCCACUCCUUUGCCUUAGAACCCAAAUGGUAAGGAUUUUUUUAAACCAGUAAAACAAAAGUAGAGACUUAUUUUGCUUUUCUUUGUAACACCAAUGCUCAGCAUAGUUCCUUGCUCAUGAUAGAUGCUUGAUAAAUGCUUGUGGACUUGACUGAAAACUCACAAGUUAGAGUUGUAGACAUUGAUGAAUAAAUGGAAUGAAAGCAAAAUAGAUGAAACAGAACUUGUGUCUGUGCAACUGGGGAAAACGGGGUGGCGAGGUGAUGCAGUGGAUGGCAUGCAGAGCUUACAGUCAAGAAGACCUGAGUACAAAUCCAGCCUCAGACAUUUACUGACUAUAUGAUCCUGAGCAUGUCACAACCUUGUUUGCUCAGUUUCUUGAUCUAUAAAAUGAGCUAGAGAAGGAAAUGGUAAACCACUUCAGUAUCUUUGCCAAGAAAACCCCAAAUAGGACUAUGAAGGGUCAGACAUGACUGAAAACAACUUAAUAACAGCAGCCACCACAAAGCUGUUUUUAUAUCUAGAGAAUAUAAAUGAGAGGUUUGGCGGUUUGAGAGGAGGAAACAAGCCUCUGUAGUAAAAAUAGAAAUACAAUUGACUAUUUAGUGUGAAUUUGAAAUCAAAAGAGUAGCUUCACUGUUCACAGCUAAGGAAUUUAAUUUAGAAAGAUUUUGAAGGUGGAAGACAGCAGUGCUAAGGAUAUAGAGAGAGAGCGCUAGUACAAAUGAGUACUGGAUUUGGAGUUGUAAGACAUAAGUUCAUAUCCUACUUCUGCUUUUAGUACCUUGGACAAGUCAUUUGAUCUCUGGGUCUUUUCUUCAUCUCUAACAUGAAGGUUUGGUUCUUAUAUCUGAGCCUGUGAGGGAGGUGAUUGUUUUGAAAGGAUAGGGAAGUUUAUCAUCUGACCUCAAAUAACAAGCAGAUUCUAACUGAAUUGCAAGGGCUGGAAUGUGAUGGAAAUAAAGAGAGAGUGAACAAUAUGAACCAAGGGCAGAACAACAUUAUUUGGGGAUCCCCACUUCCUUUAGCUUGACUUUGGUAUAAAGCUAGUAAGGAUCUUAGUUGAGAAGAGUACUCUUUGCGUUCAUCUCGCACAGUCUAUUUUUCUGAGGCUUAUUGAAUGAUUACAAUUUAGAAAUCUUAACAAACUGAAGCUUCUAAACUAUUUAAGUGCUAUAAGAAAUAAAGAUGUUGAUCCUUCCAGGGCUCUCUGGUAUAUAUUAAGUCAAUUGAGAAUUUAGAAACUUUAGAUUUAAAGUGCUGAUCCUCUUUGAAUCAUAUUUAGUUAUAUCGUUUGGCUCUACCCUUUAAUUUAUUGGUCUUAAUAGCACAUGAACUCCAUUUCAAGGGUAUGUGAUUUUUGAUGCCUUAUUCUUAGAAGCAUUUAUGAAAAAUGAAUAAAUUCAUUAAAGCAUACAGUACCUCUCUUACUAAUAUAGAUCUGAAUUUAAAUUACCUUUAAAAAUUACUUCUGUAAUCCUUCUGAGGGAAAAAUGGAGAUUCAAUGAAACUUCUUUCACACAUUCCUGAUGAAAAGACCAGAGCUGAUUGGAAAAUUUGACUCUCAAAUACAAAACCAUAAAAUGGUAAACAGGAAAGAGAAAUCAUAAGACACUAAGGUUAUGUACAUCCCUACAUUGGGAGAGGAUUCUUUUAACUCACAGUGGAAGGAAAGUUGGGGGAGUUGGGGAGGAGAGAAUGUGAACCGUCUCUUGUCAGAAUUGGCUCAAUGAGGGAACAUACACAGUCUAUUGGUAUAGAAAGCUAUCUUACCCUAUAUGAAAAUAGGAGGGGAAGGGGAUAUAAGAAAGAAGAUAGGGCUGAUAGAAAAGAGGGAAAAUUGGGGGAGAUGGAAGUCAGAAGCUAAACAAGAGGUAAAUAGGAUGGAAAGUAAUACACAAUAAUCAUAAUGGCGUAAAAUUUUUUUACAAGUCUAAUAAAGGUCUCAUUUCUCAAAUACUUAGAGAAAUGAGUUGACUAUGUAAGAAUACAAGUCAUUCCCCAGUUGAUAAAUGGUCAACAGAUAAGAAUUGGCAGUUCUUGGACAAAGUAAAGUUCUCUAUGGUCAUGCAAAGAAUGCUAUAAAUUACCGUUAUUUAGGGAAAUGCAAAUUAAAACAACAUCUGACAGUUAUCAGAUUGGUUAUUAUGACAGAAAAGGAAAAUGAGAAAACUUGGAGGAGAUAUGGGAAAUUUGGGACAUGAAUGCAUUUUUAGGGGAGUUGAAAACUGAUUAAUCAUUCAAGAGAGUAAUUCGAAGCUAUGCCCAAAGGGAUAUAAAAUAGUACAUACCCUUUGACCAAGCAGUACCAUUACUGGGUUUGUAUCUCAAAUAGAUAAAAAGCAAAAGCAAAAAGGGGAAGGACUUAUACAUACAAAAAUAUUUAAAGCAGUUCUUUUUAGGGGAAGCAAAGAUGUGGAAAGUGAGGGACUACUGAUCAUUUGGAGAAUGGCUGAGUGAGUUAUAGUAUAUGAUUGUAAUGGAAUACUAUUGUUCUGUAAGAAAUGAGCAGGAGGAGCUCAGAAAAACCUGGAAAGACUUACCCAAACUGAAGCAGAGAGAAAUAAGCAGAACCAGGAGACCAUUGUAGAGUGACCAGAAUACUUUAUAGUGAACAACUGUGAAUAACAGCUAUUCUCAGCAAUACAAUGAUCCAAAAGUAUCUCAAAGGAUUCAAAUAAAAAAUGACCUCAACUUCCAGGGGGGACGACUGAGUCUGAAUCUAAAUUAAAAAUUUUUCACUGUCUAAAUUUUUUUUCUAUUUGAGUUUCUUUCCACAUAUGGGAAAAUCUUUUACAUGAUUGCACAUGUAAAAUCUGUAUGAGAUUAUUUACUAUCUCAAGGGAGCUGGGAGGUUGAGGAGGGAGAGAGGGAGACAGUUUGAAACUCAAUAUUCUUUGAAAAAUGUUGGAAACUGUUUUUACAUGUAAUUGGAGGAGAAAAUUAAAAAAAAUUUAAAUUACCUAAAAAUAAUCUUUAGUUAACAUUCAUCUAAAUUUAACAAUAUUUUCUUUCCAUUGGAUUACUAACAGGACACUAUGCAUUCCAGAUAAAUGGGCAUCCCAUUUCUGCCUGAGCACUACCAGUGACAGGAAUUCACUAUCUAAUGAAAUAGCCCACUUUAUUUUCCCACUUCAACUUCUUAGGUCUUAAUGUCUUUAGUAAAAUGAGUCAGUCACCAACUUGCUUUCCUGGUCUACAAGUCCAUGACUAAACUUGAGGGCAUUUCUCCUAAUUCAGUUUUUUUUUUUGUUUGUUUUAGGAUUUGAUGACAAAAAUGUCUGAGCUUAAUCCACAUCCUUGAUUAUCAUAGAACCACAAUGAAAGGUUCUAAUUUUUUUGGGUUUUCUCUUAUAUGUAAACUGUUCCAUCCUCUUGGCUAUUUAGAUGUUUUCUCCAAGACCAUUUCCAGCUUCAUUAGAGUUUUUUUAAAAAAUCAAACUUAAGCAAAGUAUGUCUAGCAGUUUCUUUUUAGGAUAAAUUCUGUUUAUAGCAUUCCAAAAUACCUUUAUAUUGUGGAUACAGAUAAGGACUGGAACUGUAAUUUCACUGGCAUUGGAGUCUCAUUCUACUAUGCAAGUUAGUAUGUUUGUUGCCAUUUAUAGGCUUAUGGAGUUGCCUAGAGCAUUGAAAGAUUAAAUUGCUUCUCAAGAGUCACCCAGCUAGUAUGUAGUAGAGAUGAAACUUGAACUCAGGGUUAAGUCCAAGGCCAGCUUUCUCCCUGGUGUACCAUAGGUGCCUCUCCCUCUUUUCUUAAAUACAUAUAUGUAAAUUUAUGCAAAUAUAAUAUAGAAUAAUUAUAUAUAUUGUAUGUGUAUAUAUUUAAAGUAUUAUUAUCAAUGCAUAAUAUACAUAUAUUUCUGUAUAUCCACAUAUUUUAUAUACAUGUCAAUUUUAAUAACUUUUAAAUUCUAUCCUGGUUACAAAGUCAAUCUAUUAUGAUUGGAUAUCUGCCAUUAUAUCUUAAUUGAAAUGUGUUCAUCCAGAACUUCAUACUCCAAGGGGUAAAUUCUAUAUCUUGCAAUAUCUUAGCCACCAUUUUUUUUUAGUAAAAAUCAAAGCUUUUUAUCCUAUAGUGUCAGUAAUGAAGUUGUGUUCUUCAUGCAUGAUCAUCUCUAGAUUCAUAGGAUCAUAGAUUUAGGUGGAAGAGACUUAGGAGGUUGUCAAGGCCAAAGUCUUCAUUUUACAGAUGAGAAAACAGCCCAAGAGAGGUAAAAUGCCAGGAUUAUAUAACUGGUAAAUGUAUAUGACAGGAUUUGAAUCCAGGUCUUCCGGAAUCUAGUUUAAACACUCUCCAUUCUGUUAUCUUAACUGAAUUCUUUUGAGAUUAUCAGUUGUAGUUUAAAUAAAAAUUCUAGAGAGGGAGCCUGGCCAGUGGUUUAAUUGUUGAAGGGAGCUACUGGUAGGAAACUACUUCUAUCUAGUGCAGAUCAAUUAUUCAAUAACUGACAGUUUUAGUUACCUGAGGCAUUGAGAGGUUAAGUGACUUGUCCACACUUGAUCAUAUAGCCAAUAUGUGUCAGAAAUGAAAUGGAACCUAGCUUUUCCUGACUCAAGAGGCUACAGUUCCAUCUUCUAGGCCAUGAUACAUUUCUUUUAUAAUUUUUUAUAAUUUAUAUCUGUGACAAAUAUGAUAUUCGAUUCUAUUGACUGGCCACUCAUUUAUUCAGCUUAAUUUGUGUUUGACAUAGUUCUGACUUCAAGGAAGCUCUUGUUCUAUGGAAGGAGUUAGCUAUUGCCUUCUUAGAAUCUCUACAAUAACCAGCAUAAUUAUAUAGAUUUUUUUGAUGUUUCUAUUUUUCUUUAUAUGUUUUUUUAAAAUCCAAACAUUAUCUAUCUCCCUACUCUAGGAAAGAUGAGCAUGAAACCCAAGGGUUCAGGCAGAGGGAGAUCCCUCUACUGGAGUGGUUUUGGGGAAAGGAAUUAAGCUAGAGCAGAAGAAUAGGGAAGACUUCCUCAUUCCACAUGGCUCACAUUUUCACAGUGUGACCUCACAGAAUUUUCAGAAUGUUAGAUAUACCCACAUGUAAGAAAGAGUAAGUAAAAAACAAAACACCCACACCCACACACAUUUUAGAGUCUAAAUAUUAUUAGCUUAGCAUACUUAUAUAUUUGCUCAACAUUCCUUCUCCAUCCUAUAUAUAUUUUGCUGUUGUACAUGUCUUGAAUUCUGGAAGAUAUUUUAUUGAUAUAUCAGUGUAGCAGAAUUUAUGGUUGCCAUGGGAACCAUUGUGCACAUAAAAUAUUAACUCUUCCCUGGCCUAACGGUUUUUUGACAGAUUUUCUUAAUGAGAGUUCUAGUGAAGGAAACAGUGAGACUGCUUUGUACUGCACCAACCUAGGCAUAUGAUCAAAGUGAUCAAAGUACACAUAUAAAUACUUUUGUCCUCAGAAUUGUUAUAUUGAGGACAAGAGAAGAUUCCUCUUGGAUGUUUGAGCCCAAAACAUUUCCUUAGUGGGAGUAAACUGAGAAGUUUGUGUUCUGGAGCAGGGUUCCUCAUGAAGUAAGGAGUUGUUUGGGGUGUUCAUGAUAGAUUUUGCAUUUAUAAUAGACAAAUCCAAUUAUCCUUGGGGCCAUGUUUUUUAAAAUUCUUGCCUUUCUGGGUGAGCUCUCCUAUAGCAAAUGGGUUAACAAUGACAGUGGGUACAAAGUGCUUGCUUUAUCUACAUUAUCCCAUCAGAUCUUAAUGACCAUGUGAAGUAGGUUCUAAAAAAGGAGGCUGAUGCUCUAUGUUGUGGUAGUUUAGAUGCAAGACAGGAUUUCAGGUUUGUGAUCAUCAAGUUUCAACCAUAGCAUUUUUGAGGGCACUGACUAGUUUGAUCAUGAUCAUAACUCUUUGCCAACCAGAGGUAGUCUCUUGAUAUCUUCAGUUGAACCUGGUGGUUAAUGUCUACUCUUGGAAGAGAAUUUGGGGAUGGUUCUGACAGGUAUCCUUCUCUGAGAGCUCUCACUUCUUAGUAGAAACAUGAUUGAAUGGUAUCCUCCCAUGGGGGGAAAAACUAGAUCUGAAAACAUAAAGGCUAACUAGAUGGUGAACAGCCAGCCAGUAUUGAAUUCAAAUCCUGCCUUAGACACACAUUAGCAAUGUGACCUCUGGGCAAGUUAUUUUAACUCUGGGUGUCAGUUUCCUCAUCUGUAAAAUGCUUUAUAUUUGAUAGAUUCUAAAGUCAUUUCCAAAUCUAACUUUAUAAGUCUAUGAAACCAUUAGUAUGGGGUCCAGCCCAUGUCUUCAAAGAUGGGGAUUGAGGCAGGAGAAUUAAAUUUUGGCCCAUUUUUGUGUUUUUUAUCAACCUCUUUCUCCUUUCUGUCUUUUUUUUUUGUAGGCAAGUCUCUCACCACUUAAGGCUUGCAAGGUGAAAUGUGUAGAAAGCACAUUUGCAUUGCAUUAUCUAUUCAAACUAUUACUAGUAUGGAACAAAAGCAGGAACAAUGACUUUAGAACUUAAAGAGGACCCAAGCUUAAAUGUCACUCCUGUUUAUAGUCUGCCUGACAUUAGGCAAAUCACUUACCUUUUCUAUGAGAUCACAGGUUCAAUCCAGUUUACUAGCUUAAAACUACAGUAAGCCUUUUGGAACAUCCAGUAUAAAUGUCACCUAUUGUUAUGAUUAAAAUUGUUUGAAUAUUUUUGAGUCUUUCAAAUAUAUUAAUAGUGCACUUAAAGAUGUAGAUCAAUUAGAUUAACAAUGAAAAUACUUGGCUUUCUUUUUAAGUUGGAAACAUGAGAACUUAAAGACCCAGUUUUGUACUAGUUUUGGUAAGUUAAUGAUUAAAUACUGUUGCAGUGUUCUAUGUUCCUAACAAGGGAGCAACAUAGAGAAGCUUGGGUAAUUUUGUAAUUUUUGAUCUUCUUAACCUGAGUUUUACUUUUAAAUUGCAGUGGUAGUAUUUAAUUGGUUAAGAAUUGCAAAUGUGUGUAUAUGGAGCCCUCUCUUUAUUCUUUAAUAAUAUAAAUUCCAUGUAGGUUUUAAUAUGUUCACUAAAUUGUAAAAACUAAUUACCCCCCAAAACUUGGAUUAAACGUUUGGUCAUUUUGUUUGAGUUUUAACAACCUCACAUAAUAAAUUCUAUUGUUUUUGUAAACAUUCUAUGAAGUUAUAUCCAUAUACAUAAUAAUAUACAACUUAUUUGAGCUGAACUCAACAUAAAACUAAAGACUAUCAAAACAAAUAGGUUUACAGGAUUUAAAGCUGAAAGGAACCAUGGGGUCAUUUAAUAGAACCAAUAUCUUUAUUUUAUAGUUCAAGACACAGGUGUUAAAAUAGCCAUCAGGAAUGAAGUCUGAACUAGAUUAAAAUGUAAUUGGGAAAUACUGAACAAAGUAAAUAAAAAUACAAGAGAAUACAAAUAAUGUUGAUAUGUGGUUUUCUAAGUCAAUAUGCAACCUGCAAAGAUUCCAAUUUAGUGAUUCAUUUUCUUUAUGAGUUUGAUCCUAUUGGUUUAGAAAAUGAAAACUCAAAGUAAGUUAUUUUCCCAGUGUCACAGGUCUUAUAUAUGUGUAUAUAUAAACCCUGGCUCUCUGAAUCUAAAUCCCAUACAUUUCCUCACCACUGAGAGGUUGGUUCAAAUUCUAAAAUAUUUUUUCCUUUUAAUUUACUAACUGCUCUGUUUGUUUGUGUUUAUUCUCUUUCCAUUUCUUCUGUAUAUACAUCUGUCUCCCAUUAUAUUAAAUUAUUAUAUGAUAAAAUAUAGGUAAAAUAUAUUAAGUAGUGUAUAAUUAUCCUAAAAUCUAAGGUUUAAGAUCUUUUAAAGUAAUUUUAGGAAAAGAAAAUUGCCAACACUCCAAAUCAAGAAGGCAGAUCUUUUAGAGAAGAUGCCAUAAGGAUGCCUACAGAAACAUCAAGAGAUCCAGAGAGAACUUUGAGAUAUAAAAUGAACUGAAUUGAAGGGAGUUGAACAUAUCAUUUAUUCUGAAUAUAAACUUAUGCCAAAGAGGGGAGUGCCCUCAACUGGAUUUUUGUCAAUGCAGCCAUAAAUCAUUUUUGUUUUCUUUUCUUUACCUCUUAUCCCCAAAUUUUUGUAAUUCUCUCUAUGUAAAAUGCAGUAUUUUAUGCAUCUCUAGUAAGAGAAUCUUUAGAUGUAUAAGCUGGUUAUGUGAAAUGAUUCAUUGAGGAGACUAGGCAUGUUAAUCUCCCAAAGAUCCCAAGAGAGAUUUUAGCAAGCUUAUCUCCCAAUAGAAUUACAGGGGGGAUUGUCAGACCCAAAUUUCUCUCUCUGGUAUGGCCUUUUUUUACAUCAUCUUCCAGUGACCUGGAAAUAAAUUCAGGUAUAGAUAAGCCUCAGAUAAAGGAAGUUAAAGACCCAGUGAACUAAUAAAAACUAAUAAGAUGAGAACUAAUAAGAACUAAUAAGAUGAGAACCAAAAAUUCCACAGGCACUGCCACCCUGGGUGGCCCAGGCAAAUGAAGAAAGUAUUAUUGGUUCCUGAGAUGUAACAUGUGAAAGUUAGUGGGUAGAGAAAAGACCUUAUAAGCUAAAACCAACAGAAGGUUGAGGUCUUUGACUGUGCAUGAAGGAACAGAGUGGACCCUUACUGGGUUGUAGCUACAAGCCCAUUAUGGCAGCCAAUAGAUUAGAAAGCUAAGUAUCUCUCUACCUCUCUCCUACUUUUUCCUCUCUUUACUACUACUACUACUACUACUACUACUACUACUACUACUACUACUACUACUACUUUUGAUUUAGUAAAGUUAUUAAGCCAGAAAUAGCUUCAUAAUUUAAAAUAUUACAGUAUUGUAUUAAAAUAUAAGCACUUGGAGAGUAGCCACUGUUUUUUGUACUCAGCCUACAUCUGUGUGCCUGACACAUAGUUGAUGCUUGCUAAAUGUUCACUGAGUCAUUAAUUUGACCAAAAGAGCCAACCUGGGGAUUCUUUAAAUAUCGAGUCCUUUUCGCAUUCAUAAUAAAAUUAAUCUACCUAAAUUCCAUUUGUGCAUAACUUUUCAGUGACCACAAUCAGUAAAUCACAAGCUUUAGAGACUGAAGUAGUCAUAAGGAGAAAUACAUCAAUUGCUUUAAAAUGAUGCAGACCUAUGUGUAAUUAUUCAUUGUAAACCUGGAGUAAAAAGUAGGCCUGUAAGAGAUCCCACUCAGCAGGUCAGUGAGACAAACUGGAGAGGUUUUCCAAACUGCUUGUCCUUUGAACACAGUAGCAUUUCCUUUGUGUCCUUCCUUAGUGCUCUUAGUCCUUAUCUACCCAUUGUAAUGGAGCAACUCAUAAUGGCUCCUCUGUGUGAAGUAGAGGUGUAUCAUCAGGAAGUUAAUGGAUUGUGCACAGUGGGGAAGAAGCCCAUGUGUCAGCUGGUGCUAAUAAAUCAUCUAGUAAAUUUUGUUCAAGGGUUUUCCUGCCUGAUAUUAGCCUAUUCAUGAGUUUCCAUGGCACAGAGGACUAACGAUGUUGGUAGGCAAGGAGAGGAGCAUCUGGAAAGCUUGAUGAGAGUGAACUCUUUGCUCUCAAUUAAGGAAACUCAUUUGCCCUUUGCCAAAGUGGACCUAGGAAUGGCUCUGAAUUACCAGAUGCCUGGUGAGUCUCAGAUGGUCAACUUUUUUCAUCCAUACUUUGUUUAUAAAAGUUGAACAAUUUGCCUGCUAAAUAGGAUGUUGUUCUCAGGGAAUAUAUUACCUUGUUCCUUUCUGGCUGCUCUCAAUUUCUUUUUGCCUUAGAAAGACACUGAAUGGAGUAAUUUUCCUUUAGCUUUUGAGUUUGAAGAGUUUCUCCUCUCCUGUCUUGUACAUUUUCCCUUUUUUUUUUCCUCUGGGAUUCAGCUGAUUCAUAUAAUUCUCUUUCCUGAAAACAUUACUUCUACACUUAUCCCCAUGAACUCUUCUUUGAUGGAGACAUAAAAUAUGAAGGUAGAAAGGGACCUGAAGAGUCAUAUAGAUAUGCAAAUGGGACCAGAGAGAUUUGAGUGACAUAGGUUUCACAGAAUCAUUGAAUCUCAGCAUUAUCUUAUCUCUAUGUACAGUCCCCAUCUGAACACACUUUCCUUCUUCAGCAUUCCUGAUAAGUGUUAUCAGUGGGAACCCACUACCUCUAGAGGUAGACAGCACAUUCCAUAUUGGGUUACCCCUAAUUAUGCAUUUUUUGUGUCUAGUAAGCCUAAAUCCACCUCUUUUUGGUUUCUUCUUUUGGUCAUGAUUUUGCCUUCUAGAGCUAAGCUAGUUGUUGCUCAGUCAUCUCCAAUUCUUUUCAGUCCCAUGAGCUAUGCUGGCUGUAGGGUUGUCUUAGGGAAGAUACUGGAGUGGUUUGCCAUUUCCUUCUUUAGUGGAUUAAGGCAAAUAGAUUAAGUGAUAUGCCCAGGGUCACAUAGCUAGUAAGUGUAUGAGACUGGAUUUGAACUUGGGUCUUCCUGACUCCAGGCUCAGUGUUCUGCCUAUUGACCCACCUCGCACCUUUCCUUGGGCUAAGAAGUUAUCAAAUCCCUCAUUCUUAUGAAAGCCCUUCAAAACAUAGAGGCAGAACUCCUGAACUCUUGUAUUCUCUUCUGCUGAAAACAUCCAUAAUUCCUUUAAUUUCAUAUGGCAUAAACUAGAGGAGUUAUAUGAUGCUCCUGAAUGCUCCCUAUCUUAUCUGUGUUCUUCCUUGGAACACAAUAAAUAUAUCAGAUAAGACCUAAAGAGACAAAAUAUAUUGGUACUUACUGGACAGCUUGGUGGUAUAGUGGACAGAUAGAGCACUGGGCUUGGAAUCAAGAAAAUUCAACUUUCUAAUUUCAAAUCUGUCCUUAGACACUUUUGAUGGUUAUGUGAUCUUAGGCAAGUCAUUUAACUCUGUUUGCCUCAGUUCCUUAUGUAUAAAGUCAAUUAGAGAUGGAAAUGGAAAAUGAUUCUAGUAUCUUUGCCAAGAAAACCUCAAAUAGGGUCACAAAGAACAGGACAACUAAAAGGACCAAACAACAACAAUAAAUAGUAGUACUAUCUUCUCCCUAGUUUAAUUCACCGUCUCACUGAUAGAACUUACAGUUCACUAAACUACCCCUACCUCUUUUUCAGACAAAUUGCUAUCUAAUUAUAUUUCCCUAUAAGUUAAUUUUUUGAACCUUAGUACAAGAAUUUGCAUUUGCCUCUAUUAAAUUUUGUCUUAUUACAUUUGGCUUGGUAUCCAAACUAACCAAAAUUUGACUUUGUUAUCCACAGUCCCUCUUAGCUCUCACUCCAAAAUUUGUGUCAUGGACUGGUUUGAUAUGCAUGCUUUCUAUUCUUUUAUCCAAGUCAGUGAUAAAAUUGUGAAAUAACACAUGGCCAAGCCAAGGUCCCAGAAAACACAAUUGCAGCCUAUUCUGGGAAGUUGACACUGAAUCAUUUUGACUGCUCCCUUGAUCCAGUCAUUGGGCUAGUUCUGUAUCAAAACAAAUGGAUUAUUGUUCACCCUACAUUUUCCUCUAUUUUUCAUGUGAGAGACUAUUAGCUGCUUUGCUACAUGUAAUUCUAGCAUAAAACAUAUACCACAUCUAGCAUUUCCCUGAACUUCUAGUUGACCUUACUAAUAAAAGCAUAAAGCUAGUCUGUUUUGCCCUUUUUUUGAUAGUCAUUCUGGUAUUUUUGUAAUUACCUUUCCUUAAUGUUACAGAAUUUCUCUAGAAAUUUAAGUCAAGCUUGCUGGAUUAUAAUUUACAUAUUUUGUUUUCUUUAAAAAUUGAAUUAUUUGCCAUUUUCCAGCCUUAUACCUUUCAUAUUAUUCUGAAAUUUCCACAAACAGUUGCUCAGGAAUCACAACUAGUUCUUUCAGGUCCAAGCACUAGCUAUCAUCUUGGCCUGUUGACUUAUUCUCUUUAAGAACAACUUGAUCUUGUCUUAAGGUUUCCCUACUUAUCUUGGGUAUCAACUCUCCAUUAUUGAUUUUUUGUUCUGACCUCUAGUCCAAAGAAAACAGAUGCAGAAUAAGACCUAAGUAGUUCUGUCCCAUUUUUGUUACCUAUCAUCACUGUCUCGUCUACCCCGACUAGUAGUCUUACCCCUUCUUUGAUCCUCUUCCCCCAGGAUAGCUUUUAAAAAUCUUUUUUAUCAUACUCAGCUUUCCUUUCUAGCCUCAACUUGUUCUAAACUUUAGCACUCCAAACCUAGUUUUCUAUAAGACAGUACAACUCUUUUACCUCUUAUAAAAAUUAAAAUUGGUUGAUGAGUUCAUAGUGCAUCCAUACUGGUAUCUUCAAACCACUCUCUUCUUUGGUAUCAUAAUUAUUUGUGUCUUAAAUUUUUUGUUUUCAAGAUUUUUCAUUUCUAUUCCUCUUCAUUUGACUUCCCACAUACUUUCUCUGAAUCUUUUGAAAUCUAGGGUGCACAGAAAACUAUUCCUGGCCUUCUUUUUCUCUAUUACUGAUUCUAAAAUGGAAUAAUUAUUUCUCUUAAAAGAGAGAAUCCAUUCCUUCUUGUUUGAUUCAUAGGUUCCGAAUAGAUUUUUCCAAAAGUUUUUCUCCCCAACUUCUUGAAAGAGCAGUUGAGAGUAAAACAUAGGUGCUUUUGUCUCAAAAUUCAAAAUUUCUUCCUUUAUAACAUGCUGCCAUAAAAUAUCAUUCCCAUUCUUUUAUAGUUUCUUCUCAGUAUUUAUGUAGUGAUCUCUUUCUUAUAGAUACCAGACUUUUAAUAAACCUAAACAUCCAGAACCCAGCUGUGAAUCUGAGCUGUGAAUGUAAGUUUAAAAAAGGGGGAGAAGCAGGAACUAAUGGUUGUCCUAAACCUAUAUACUUUAAUUCAUAGGAAAAAGAGCAGGACUAAGUUUGUGCCACAUAAAGCAGAAGAUUAGGAUCAGAGAUGCACUGAUGGACAAACCGCUAAGACAAAGGUAUAAUUGUCUGGGGGCACAAGUAGCCAUGUAUGCACUUCAAUGACCUUUAAGGGUAUUUUUGCAUGUUUGUCUCAGAAUGACCAUAUCUAUCAAACAGAAAUGCUAAUGCUAUCCACAUGCUAGUUUGCCCGUCUAGAAUGAUAUACAGAAUGGAAACAUUUUGAGAGGAAUGAUUGUUUUCUUUUGCUUCUUAGUAUUACAGCGCCUUGCUUAUAGUAGACACUUAUUAAAUACUGAUUGAUUGAUUAUGAUUCAUAUUUGAGUGAAUGAUGGAUUUUAUCCCCAGCCACAUAGAAUUACAGUCUCUUCCCUCCUCUGGUCCUUUGGAAUACUUUUCUGGUGUCACAUUCUGUCAGAUUGGAAGAAUAAGGUACAGAACUAUGCCUAAAAGGUACUUUUGAACAGUAAGUAGAGGAAGUGUUUACCAGAACUCAUGGGUAAGAGCCAAGUCAAAAGUUGGAUAUGAAAUUACUUGUGAGGAUAUUUUAGAAAUUGGGAUUACGUCUUAGAAUCUUUGACAUUUUCUUUUCCACAUAUUUUUUUCUCAUUGUUAUCAGUUCAGGGAAUACCUUGGUCAGAUUUCUUCAUAUCCCACAAUAUCCUCAAGACUUACUGAUACAUUGAUAUUGAAGUUAGACUAGUAGACUAAAGAAUAUCAUCCAUCUGGGAAAUGUUGUAAGCAGAAGUAGGAGAGAAUUGAAGAUACCAAAAUAUAUAAAGUUGCUAGAAAGAAAUCAUUGGAACUGGAUGGUCAGAGAGAUUGUUUUGUGGAAAUGAUCAUUGUAUUUAAAGUUUAAAAUUUUGAGACUUGGACCUCUAGGAAAGGGAAUUGUAACUAAAGAAGCUAAUAAAUGAGGUUAAUAUAAAAGGAUAGAUGAGAAAAUUCUAGAUUUUUUAGAGCAAAUUUUGAAAAAUUGAUUUGAUCUCCACCCCAUUAUUAAAAAGUAAACAAAUCUGCAAUUUAGAAUAACUCAUCUUUGUGCUCAAGAGACAUCUAUGUUUUUUGCAACCUUAAACCAUCUUAGUAUGAAAUUGUAGAAAUGGAUAGUAUUUGAAGGGAAAGAGGAAGGAGUUGAUAACAUGUGAAUGUAGGAGCUGAGGAAUCAUACAGGUUAUGAUUAAAAUCAUACAGGGUACGUUAAAAAAACAGUAAAUACAUAAAGAAUCACUUGGAGUUGUGACAGAAAAAAGGAAUGAAAAUUUUUUUAAAAGAUAUUGUGAUUUACUUGCUCACAGGAGUAAAUCAAGAGUAAAGACUCAGGUAGUGAAUGCUUUUCAUCAGAGGACAUUGAAGAGAAAUGAAAUACAAAUAAAAAGGGACUAGGAGAUAAGACACUAGAAGUUAGUCUCUUUGAGAUCGUAGUGCAGGCAUUACUGGGGAUAGAAUAGAUCAUCAUUGCAGAAAAAUUUAAAGAGAAUUUGCAGACCUAUAAAUUUAUCCUUUUUUUUAAUGUUCUGGCCAUAAUUUUGAUAUCACUAUUCUUCUGGUGAUACAGCUGUGAAUCUUAGAACACCAUGAUUUCAGAAAAAGUCCAAUUUCAAAUGCCCCAAAAGACAAACUGAGGUAUGAGCCUACAGCAUAUUAUUAUUAAUAGUGCUAUGUACAGGAAGUAGCAAAAAAAGAAAUAAGGGUCAGGUAGGAUAGGGAAAAGAGGAGUUCCAGUUAUGAAGUUUGAGCAAGGAUUCUUAAUCUACUUUGUGUCAUAUUCCCUGUUGGCAAUCUGUUGAAGGCUAUGGAACAUUUUUUUUUUCAGAAUAAUGUUUUAAAAUUUGUAAAAUAAAGUACCUAGAAUUGCAAGGGAAACUAAUUAUAUUGAAAUAAAAAUUAAAAUAUAAACCUAUUUUUAAAAAAUCUUGGAGCCUAGGGUUUUAAAAAUCCCAGGACCUCUGAGAUAGAGCAAGAAAUAGAAUAGUUGGAAAAUCUCAGUACAACUUUGGUUUCAAUCCAUAAAAUAUUAAAAUAACUAUGAGGGCCUCCAUCUAAUUUGGUAGGUCCUUUAUGGUAUAUUGAUAUAAAAAUCUGGGAAAGAAUUGUACAGGAUUGGAAAGUGUGACUGGGUUUUUAUUUGUAUUCAUAAAGAAUAUAGUCUUAUAGAUGAAAUUAUAGAGAAGUCAAAAUCUCACAUUGGCCACCAGUUUUCAACAGGGUUUUUUCAGACUGAUCAGUUAGUUUCAAAGAAUUGGAACAUAUACUAUGAGUAUAUAUAUGGUGCUUUAUUCAAUUUGUAUUCUAGUUUAAUUCACAUAGCCCUAUUCUGAUGCCUCAUCAUUGUAUGGUGGUCAUAUUAGAUUUUAAAUAUUAUAUCAGCAAGGCAUUUCUAAGCUGAAAAGCCUUUGAAUACAGGUCUGAUGAUGGAUUAUAUCUGCCAUCCCCAGAGAGACAUCGCCAAAGUAGCUGGUAAGGAUUUUUUGUCUUUAGUCUUUUGUCUUUUUUUUUAAGCAUUGGGAAUUCUUGAAAUCCCUUAACUUGUAGAGAAGUAUUAGGAUAUUGUUUUUUUUUUUAAUUCUGAAUUUAACAAAAAUAAAAGACAAGAGAGAAUAUUUUCAUCUACAAAGCAGAACAGAAAAAGGAUUAUAAGUGAAAAUAUUAAUCUACUGCCCAUAGCUUAUUUUUUAAAGUAUAUAAUGAUCACAAUUUGAUAAAAACUGCUGGGUAAAUUGGAAAACAAUAUGGUAAAAAUUAGGCAUAGAUCAAUAUCUCACACUCUAUAACAACAUAAGGUCAAAAUGGAUAUGUGAUUUAGAUGUAAAGGAUGAUGUAAGUAAAUUAGGGAAACAUAGAAGAGUUUACUAGUCAGAUCUAUGGAGAAGGGAAGAAUUUAUCACCAAACAAGAGAAAACAUUACAAGAUACAAAAUAAAUUAUUCUGAUUACAUUCAAUUUAAAAGGUUUUAGUAUAAACAAAACCAAUGCAACCAAAAUUAUAAGGAAACAACAAACUGAGGGGGAGGGUAGUUUAUGAUAUAUUUCUCUGAUAAAGGUCUCAUUUCUCAAGGAACUAAAUCAAAUUUAAAAUAAUAUAAGUCAGUCCCCAAUUGAGAAAUGGUUAAAGGAUAGGAAUAAGCAGUUUUCAAUUGAAGAAAUCAAAGCUAUCAAUAAUCAUGAGAAAAUCUUCUAAAUCCCUCUUGAUUAUAGAAAUGCAAAUUAAAACAACUCUGAGGUACCAACUCACACUUAUCAGAUUGACCAAUAUGACAGCAAAGGAAAAUGAUAAAUGUUAGAGGGGAUUUGGCAGAAUUGGGACACUAAUACAUUGUUGGUGGAGCUGUGAACUGAUGUAGCCAUGCUGGAGGGUUACAUGGAAUUAUACCCAAAGUGCUAUAAAAUAAUGCAUAACUCUUGAUCCACUGUCUGUAGGUCUGUAUCCAGGAGAAAUAAAAAAGGGGGUGGGGAAAAGGACCUACUUAUACAAAAUAUUUAUAGCUGCUCUUUUUGUUGUUGCAAAGAAUUGGAAACUAAAGGGAUGUUCAUCAAUUGGGAAAUGGCUGAACAAGUUGUUCUAUAUGAUGUUGAUGGAAUACUAUUAUGCUAUAAGAAAUGAUGAACAAGAUGAUUUCAGAAAGAGCAGGAAAGAACUACAUGGAUUGAUGCAGAAUGAAAUAAGUGGAACCAGGAAAAUGUGGUAACAGUAACAGCAAUAUUGUGGAAUGAGCAACUGUGAUAGACUUAGCUAUUCUCUACAAUACCAUUAUCCCGGACAAUUCUGAGGGACUUAUGACAAAAAAUGCUAUCUACCUCCGGAGAAAGAACUGUUGGAGUCAGAAUGCAGAUAAAAGCAUACAAUUUUUUAAUUGCUUAUUUGGAUUUGUGUUUUGGUGUUUUGGUUUUAUAAGAUUAUUCACUUACAAAAAUGAACAAUAUGAAAAAAUAUGUUUUGCAUGAUAAUACAUGAAUAACGCAGAUUGAAUUGCCUGCCAGCACCAGGAGGGAAAGGAAGGGAGAGGGGAGAUAUGUUUGGUCAUAUAACUUGGGAAAACUUAUGUGGAAAUUUGUUAAUACUUGUAAUAUUGAUAAAGAAAAAAGGAAAAAAAAACAUAUGAGUGGCAGCUAACCGGUAUAUAAUGAAUUCAAAGUUCUUCUCUUUGUGUUUUUCUCUGAACUUCCCUCUGUUGUCUUCUUCAUUCAUGUUGUUGGACAGGGAGUCCAUGCUGAUGGAAAACAGAUUCUUGAUGUUUUAAAGAUGUUAUUGAAGUUGAAUUUUUAGUCGAAUAAUCUGUCUUUGCAUGAUUGGACUAGUGACCAAAUGAAUCUUUUGUGCUUAGAAAACAUCUAGAGGGUAGUGUGGUCAAGAUGAUAAAUAAUAAUGUAGAAAUACCUUGUCUACCAAGAGUUCACUUGUCUUUUAAUUUUGCCUAGAAGGUUUGAGAACCAGGAUAUAAGCAAAAUAGACUUUAAAUAACCACGAAGCAACCUAUAUUAAGCUCUUAGUAUGUGCCAGGCAUUGUGUUAAGCACUAGAGCAUAACCCACCCAAAAAAAAGAACAAAAAAAGAAACCAUUUCUGAAUUCAAGGAGUUCAUUUUUCGAAUGGGGGAAGACAACGUGCAAAAAAAAUUAUACAUACAAGAUGUCUACAAGGUUAAAUUGAAGAUAAUCUCACAAAGAAGACCUUAAGAGUGGGGAGAGGAAUGGGCCAGCAAAGACUUUCUGCAGAAUGUGGGAUUUGAGCUGAGACUUGUAGGAAGCCAGGGAAGGUGAGAAGGGAGAGUCUUCUAGGGCAUGUGGGGAGAGCCAGUGAAAAGGCAAAAGUGGAGAGACAGACCACGUGUGAGAAGAACAGCAAGAAGGCCAGUGUGGCUGGAUUGUGGAGAAUGUAGGAGAAUAAAGAGUAAGAAAACUGGAAAGGUUGUGAAGAACUUUAAAGGCCAGAAGAUUUUGUAUUUGGUCUUGGAGGAAAAUCUGUAUCACAAAGUCCAUGCUUUAUUUGCUCCUAAAUGAGCCUAUCACACUCUCAAAGUUGAUUUAUUCUUUCUUUAGAUCUAAUUUUAUCAUGACCAAAUAUCUGAUACCCUAAUCUUCAGCUGAUUCAAAAGAUAUAUUUCAGAAGAUGUAUCAAGUUGGGUAACACAUGGGAGAGGAGAUGCUGAUAGAGGCAUUUAUAUUGACAGUAACAUCAAGGAAUAUAAUAAUUUAAUGGCAAGGAUGGAAAUAGGAAAAAAAACAAAAAGAAGACAUAAAAACUCAAAGUUGGCCAAGGAUCUGUGAAUUGCUAAAUUAAGUGGCUUUAUUUCAUUCCUCCUUCUUAACUUCUGUGGAGUUGUUUAUCACUCUUUCAGGAUAUGCUCUUCUUGGAUUUCCAUAACAUCACUCUGUCUUGGUUUCCCUUCCUUCUGACAGACUAGAUCUUCUAAAUCACUUAUAGAACACUUUUAUUAAAUCAACAAGCAAAUAUUAAGUGGCUGUCAUGUAUCAGAUGCUGGGGUUACAUAUAUAAAGAAUGAAAUGAACUCCAGCCAAUUCUUUUGGGCAAGAGAACAUGUAAGUAUAGGCAGUAAUUUGUAAAUAAGUACAGAAUUGAGAACAAGGUAAUUAGGGAGGAAUGGCACUAGCAGUUUGGGAAAACAAGAAAGACUUUAUAGAAAAGGUGGUGCUUGAGCUGUCUUUAAGAAAGAGAGGAAUUCUUUGAGGCAAAAGUGAAAAAGGAGUGUAGUCCAGGUGAGGGAGAAAGCUUCUAUAAAGAAAGGCUCAGAGAUGAGAAAGAGUUGGAGUGCUGUGUGUGAGGAACAGAGAAAAAACCAAGUAGACUAGAUUGUAGAAUAUGGGAAAGGGAGUAAUGCAUAAUGAAACUAAAAAGAUUUCUUGGGUCUAGGAUACAAAGGCCUCUGAAAAUUAAACUGAAGAAUUUAUCUUUUUUCCUAGAGAUAGGGGGAGUUUGAGUAGGGGAAAGACAUGGCUAGAUGCCUGUUUUAGGAAAAUUACUUUAGCAGCUCUGUGAUAAAUAGAUUGCAAUGAAAAAGAAUUGUGGCUGAGACACCAGUUCAGAGGUUAUAGAAGCACUUUAGCCAGAAGUGAGGCCCAGGAGGUAGAAAUGACAAUAUUUAUAUUAUCAUCCAUAUUUUUGCUUUAUGUGCAUAUGCCCCAGGGCUCUGUCCUGGGUCUUGUCCUCUCUCUACUCAUACUUUUGUUGAUCUUACCUCCUUUUAGAGAUUCACCUCUCAUCUCUAUGUAGAUAACUCCCCAAACUAUUUAUCUAUUCCUUUGCUCUCUUGGGAACUCCAUUCUCUUAUUUCAAAUUGCUUGCUAGACAUCUCCUUGCAUAUGUCAUAUAGACAUCUUAAACUUAACAUGACCAGAAGAGAAUUUAUCCUUCUUAUAUUCACUUCCCUUCUUAACUACCUCUGUCUAGGGCAGCUUUUUUUGUAGAAACUCAGAUUCUGGCAGUCGAAGACUUCACUCAACUCUUCACUGUCACUCACCCAACUCAUCUCUUAUUUCAUAAAAAUUUCUGUCACUUCUUCCUCCUCAACAUCUCUUUAAUCCUUCCUCUUUUCUCCAUAAUUCAGCAUCUCAUUGCUAUUGUAAUAGCCUCCUUAAUUGGUCUCCCUGAAUCUAAUCUCUCUCUCUCUAAUCCACUCUCCACAAAAUGAUCAAAUUGCUGUUCCACUAGUACCAGUCUUAUUGCAUCACUCCCCUGUUUGAGAAGCUUUAGUUAUUCUCUAAUGCUUCCAGAAGACAAAAAUUCCUCAGCCUGGGGGCAGCUGGGUAGCUCAGUGAAUUGAGAGUCAGACCUAGAGACUGGGGAGGUCCUAGGUUCAAAUCUGGCCUCAGACACUUCCCAGCUGUGUGACCCUGGGCAAGUCACUUGACCCCCAUUGCCUAGCCCUUACCACUCUUCUGCCUUGGAGCCAAUACAAAGUAUUGACUCCAAGACGGAAGGUAAGGGUUCUUAAAAAAAAAAAAUUCCUCAGCCUAACACUUAAUGCCUUUUUACCUGUCUGGCUCUAACCUAUCUUUUCAGGAUGAUUACACACCACUCCCCCUCACAUUUGCUAUGUUUUGACUUAACUAGGCUAUUGUUAUUUAUACACAGUAUUCCAUCUGUCACCUAUGUUCCUUUGCAUAGGUUAUCUUUCCCCUUAUGUUCCUGGGACCCCUUCCUACCUCUGGUUGGCGAUUGGAUAUUGGAGAGCUCCUUCAUUUGAUGGAUUGUCCACAAUUAACUGCAUUCUCCCCAUUUCCAAUGGAAGAUUUAAGGACUUGGUUCUGCUGCUAGCUGACAUACUCAGUCUAGAUUGGUUCAUAUUUUUCAAGCAACACCAAACUUAAAAUCUCACUUUUCUAUCUCUUCUUCCAUGAGUGAAAUUCCUUGGGUGGGACAUACCUCAAAGUUCCUGGGAACAAAGGAGGUCCAAGGAACUGAUUUAAGCCUCUAAUGUAAAACCUAGAAACAAAUAAUUUAAUACGUUAGAAAUAAGUCCUCUCAAGUUUAUAAAGAAGAUAUUUUAGGGAAAGAGAACUGACAAACAAUUUAGGGGAUUCAAGAAAGGCUUAUUUUGGCACUGAUACCUGAGUUGAUUUUGAAGCAAGUGAGAGUUUUAAGAGGUACUACAUUCCUGGCAUGUGAGACAGCCCAUGCAAAGACAUAGAGGUAGAUGGUAGAGGGAUGUCAGGUUCAAGGAACAACCAAUAAACAAGUUCAGCUGAAAUUUAGAUUGGAUGAAGGGGAGUAAAUGUAGAAUAAAUUUGGAAAUGGAAAUGGAGGUUGGAGCUGGGUUAUGAAGAAUACUUUAAGUACCAAGGAGGUCUCUUAUAAUUAAUUAUCUAUGGUGGUCUAGCUAUUAGGUUUGUAAAGAGGGAAUUCAAACCCAAGUCUCUCUCAAUUCAAAGUCCCACACAUUUUUCUUUUGCUGUGCUCUCUCUCAUUACGGAGGAAGGCAAUUAGUUUGUUUCCCUCCCCCCCCCCCCCAUUGUACAUAAAUAUGUUGUUUGAGUCUUGUCACAAAGGACAAAGGUCUACUAAUCUAACUCCUUGCAUGUUACUCAAAGGAACUUUCUGUAGAAUUGCAAGAUGGAGCCUUUCUGUUUCCCAGUGGGAGAAUGUGCCUGUAUCUUAGCAGCCCAAUGUCUAACCAUUGUCUGCAGGUAGAGGUGUUUCAUUAGUAAAUAGCAGAAGCUUUCUCAGGAUAGCAAGCAUAGGGAAUAAUCCACCCUAGGCAGUCUUCCAGCAUGCGAAUGGAUUUAGCUGUCUAUCUACUCCUUAGUUCUGGUGACCUAAUAAACAUUUUCCCAUCUUACCAGCCCAUAACAUUUUGCUAAGUUUUUUUUUUCCCUUAAUGAAAACAAACAAAAUAAGAAAGUAAAUUCCUAAGGUCUUCUGAAACUUUUUCCUUUGGGACAGCCAGUCUUGUUCGCAAAUGCUGAAAAUAAACAACUAUUAAUGACCCUUGUAGUUCUAAGUUGAAUCUGCACUGGGCUUUUCUUUGCCUCUGUCCUUAUCACUCCCUGCCUUCUUACAGCUGCUUUUACUCUGUAAUAUAUGCUCUAUUCCCUUCUCCUGUCAUUUGUUCCCCAUUCCUCCCUACUCCCUCCCAUCUCAGUCCAUGUCCUAUUUCUCCCACCUCUCCUUGCUGUCUUAUGGAGGCGGCUUCCUGUCUGUUCCCAAUAUGACUGCAUGACGGGACAGGACUUUUCCUGCCAAAGGGAAGGGAUUAGGACUAAGCUGGUUAUGCCAGCUAGAGAUGAGGCUAGGUUUCCACUGUGAGAGGGUGAGUCAGGAGUUGAUCUUUUCUGGAACCUUACCUCCAAGCAGUUUUUACAUGUUCUCUGCCCUCUGAAAAAUGUCAUUUCCUCUCCAUGUUAAUAACUCUUUCUCCCUUCCUGCUCCAUAGUAACCUAAUCUCCCUCUCUUUUUCUGCUCUUGAAAAUUAGCCCAUUUACUCUUUCUUGAAUGAGUACAUAUUUACUAAGCGUUAAGUAGUCUUUAUCCUCAGUGUUUAGAACAGUGCCUGGUACAUUUGUUGUUCCAUUGUUUCAGCUGUGUCCCACUCUUUGUGACUGUUUUUGGAGGUUUUCUUGGCAAAGAUACUAGAGUGGUUUGCCAUUUCCUUCUUCAGCUCAUUUUACAGAUAAGGAAACUGAGGCAAACAAGGUGAAGUGACUUGCCUAGAGUCACACAUCUAGACAGUGUCUGAGACUAGAUUUGAUUUUAGGUCUUCUCGACUCCAGGAUCCAUCCACUGUACCAGCUAGCUGCCCUUUUUGUUGUUUAGUUCCAGUAUAUUGUAAUAAUUCAAUAAAUGUUUGUUGACUUUUUUAGCUUUUGUGAGGUGGGUAAGGUCAUAUUUUUGAAGAACAGAUGUCAAACCAACUGCUUUUUAAUUUUCCUGUUAAUGCCUUUUUAAGGUUUUAAAUUCUUAAAUUCAUUUCAACAAACACAUUAAAUCAAGCAUCUACUCUAUUCAUUCUGCUAAGCAGUGAAUGAUAGAAAGAUAAAAGGGCAUAGUAUCUCCAGUCCCAAGAAGCUUAGAUUCUUGCUUUUUACUUUCUGACAUUUUUUUAGGGUGCAGGGUACAGGUUUGCAAAAGGUUUCUCUAAUGACAACACUUGAGAUAGAUAGGACAAAUAUCAUUGUCCUCAUUUAACAGAUCAGGAAACUAAAGUUCAGAGUACUUAAAUGACUUGUUUGGUCUCACUGAAUUAAUAAAUAUUGGAAUUGAGAUUUUUUACUCAUGUCCCUCUUAGUUCCCGCUGCCUGACAUUAAUAAAAUGAGGCUAUGAACAAAUGAAUGAAAAGCAUUUAUUAAACAUUUACUAUGCUCCUAACACUGUGCUGUAUCUGGAGAUACAGAUAAAAAAUCAAAAUAAUGCUUGUCCUUAAGGAGAUGUCAUCUGAGCAGAAAGAGACAACAUAUAUAGGGAAAUGGUCUCAAGGGAGUGUUUUGGUCUGGAAAUCUUCACUGAUUCCUAAGGGAGCUGAUGAUGGACAGACCUUUUCCAGUAGCAAUUGGGAGUAUUGAUUUAAUUACAUUUCCCAAGGAAGAGAUAUAAAGUUGGGCAGGGGAAGAAUUCUACUGGAAAAUAUGAAGUAUGAUUAGAACCAAGCUUUUUCACUGAGUGAGUUUUGAUUCACAUUGUCACCAGUCAAGACAGUGUAACCCCCAGCUCAGGAGUUCCAGUCAAAUGGGUAGUAAUUCCAGGGCAUGGUCUCUAGAGGUACUGGAUUCAGAGCAGAUGUUUGUAAGAAUGAAUGUAUAUAUGUAUAGAAAAUGUUGUGUAAUUGUGAAAUACUACAUACACAUUAACUAGUAUAAUGAAUAAUUGUAAUUUCUGCCAGUAUUUAUGUUCCUUUAGUGCCUAGUAGGUGAGUAAUAUCUUUCAAAAGUGGGAUAGGUACUACUAGAUUGCUUAGAAGAAUUCUUUAGAGAAAUGCAAGAACAGUUCAGAGGACUCAAAAAAGUAUUCUUUGCUUUACCCACUACUAAAUAUGUACCCAUAUUUAUCGCCUUUUGUUCAGUCAAUGAGAAUUUCCAAUGAGUUAAUGAGAUUCUCUCCUAAAAUGCAAAGCCUGUGAGGAUUUCCAUAAUUACUUUUAUCAGAUUUCCUUCUAAAUAUAGCUAAGUUUUAGUUUUGGGGACUGAAAAAGGAAUAAAUUUGGAGCAUUUCUAAUGAGCAGAGUUGGGCAGAGCAGGUAUGAUGGCAUUUUCAGUGGAGGUUUUACAUAGAGGAUAGGACAGAGGAAGGAUAUUGGACUGAUUUGCCCUGCUGAAAUCUCGCCCUCCCACCAUUGAAACUUGUAGCCUACAUACAUCUUUAUGUUGCUGAUGCCUACAGUUGAGUAGUGUUCUCUAAAUUCACAGGUCUUUUGGAGGAUUUUGGAGGCAGAAAAAGGGGC